CGCCAAUUAUUCGAGUAAUUGAGAAAUAGUGAAGCGUACGCUUCCUAUCUCCUUUUCAUCCCAAGUUUAAGUUUAAAAGAAAAAUUCUUUUGAAAUUGAAUGGUUCGGAAAAAAUGAGUUGAAGUUGUGUGAUCUAAGAAUGGAAUGAAUUUUAUUUAGUGUAUUAUUUCAUCUACUCGAUUAAUCAAUAACCAAGUAGGUUUCAUUGUAAGGAAGCCCAAGAGUAAGCUAUGUGAGGUUGAUGGCGAUGCGAAGAGCAAUCGACUUACAAGGGUGUUUUAAAAUGGGCUCGAUAUUGGAUCGAGAAUUGUAUGAUUGUGCUUUUUUUAAAAUUGGCUUGUGUUGGAUGAUGAAAUGAAAUUGAAAGUGAUUAUGAAAUGAUGAUGGAAAAGAAAUCGACCAACCUUAGGUUAAGUCAAUUAAUUGAAUUAAUUAAGAUUAACUAUCAACAUUAUUUAAUUAUCCCAAAUAGUUAAUUAAAAUUAAUUAAUUAAAAUGUAUUAAUCCAAUAAAAGUUCAAUUAAUUAUUAUUAAAAAAAACAAAUGAAAAUAAGUGACAAUUUUGAUUUAUUUAAUGAAACCGAUAUGCUCAAAACCGGUUUGUACGUGAUGACCAUAUGAUUGAGGUCAUACGCAAAAUCAUAACUCGGUGAAAAUGUACAAUUAAUUUUAUUGGAAUUUUCGGGCGGCAUAACGACAUGAAAUUGUCGAAUCCGAGAAUGAAACUCUGAUUUUACCACAGAAAAACAAUUUUGCAUUAUUUACAACAAUAUAGAAUUAUUUUACUAGAUGUGUGGAGACUCACAAACCAACUAAAAGCAGGAUGGAACCCUUAUUAAACUAUUGAACACAACAUAAAGUUUCUAUAAAGCCAUGAUAUGCUAAUAAAACUAAAAUAAUGUAUGAACAGAAACCACAUAUUUAUCAUGUACUAUUUAUUCACAGUAUCCAUAACAAUAGCAUACGAAGUGAGUUGCAGGAUUUCAAUUCAUAAUUCCCACAAUAACAAUAUAUGCCAUAUCUCAAUGAUCCUGAAACGUACAAUACUUUAAACAGAGUUAUCAUCAUCAGUUAAAACAAUAGAAAUCAAUUCAAGCAUAUAAAACUAAGGAACACUAUAUCAAUAUAUAUCUACAUAAAGUCCUAAUUAUGUAAUCACUAGUUCAUAUAUUAGAACUUCAAGUUAAAAUGGUAAAUAUUUUACAGAGGGUCCAUCCACAUAUUUAAUCCAACUCUCACAACACAAUGCAAUGAACAUAACAUUAACACUGGCAGCUCAUACUUAUCUACAUAUUAACACAUAUAAAAUGAAUCAACCAAACUAAAGCAAACUUCAUCAAACUAAAAUAAAUCUAAGCAAACUAAUAUUAUGAAUAUUUACAAAUUAUCCACAGAGUAUCAGUUAAAACAUGAUAAAACAAUUACAGUCCAAUAAAUAGAUUAUACACAAGCGAUCUUCAUAACAAUGGCGGUUCGAUUCACAUGUGUAUGAAUCGCGACAAACCAACAACCAAAAUAUUUGUAUUUAUUAAAGAUUAAUGUGAAAUAUCUUGUAUCUCAAAAGCUAAUCUUCACAGUACUCAUAACCACAAGGAUUAACGUCAUUGUUUCUUUACACAAACCAUUCUACAAUAUGCAUAUCAUAACAGGAAUAUGUUUUACCAACACACAGAUGAUUGAGAAUAUGUGACCCGAAAUCAGAUUUUACACAGUUCAAAGAUCAAAUUAAAAUUUUAAUCUUGAAAUGAAACAGGUUACCAAAACUUACUCUGAAGCUUCACCGUGGUUUGCUGUUUUCGUUGAGGCUUUCGGCAGCGGCAGAUUCUGGCGAUGGCUUGGUGAUGGCAGUGGAAAAGUUUUGACGGACGGUGAAAGGCGAUUGAAGGUGAUGAAGCUAGAGGCGACGAUGGAGUGAGAGGGUCGAUUUUGGGUUUGAGGUUUUACGGCGAUGUGUGGCGGCGAGGUAAGCGAUUUACACGGAGGUGGAGCGGAGGUUGCGGUUGCUUGACGGUAGUGUGGAUAGGCGGAGGGUUUUGAUGGUGAGUGGUGUGGUGGCUGAGGUUUUGAAGAUGUACUCGUAAGGAGGACGACGGUGGUUUUAAUGGAGGUGACGGCGGUGUGGAGUUAAGGGUUUUGAAGGUAGUGGAGACGGAAGGAUUCGCCGGCGAAUUUGUGUGAAGAUGAUGGGAACGGCGGCGAGGGUUUUGAAGAGAGAUUUGGGGUUUUGGUGGUUGUUUAAUGGUGGUGUUGGUGGAUGAGUGAAUCGAUGGAGGUGGUGAUUUGAAGCGAUGAAGCUGGAGGCGACGAUGGAGAAUGUGUGAUUUUGACGGUUGGUUGAAGAGAUGGAGAGGAAAUUUCCGAGAGUGAGAGGAUGGUGAGGUAGCGGCGGAUAGGGUUUUGUGAGAUAUCUGAGAGAGUGAGUGAGGAGAGUGAGAGAUGGAAGGGAGCGUUUUUGUGCUGAGAUUUUUUCUGAGCAAAAUGAGAGUCAGUACUGUAGUGAGUAGUGAGUGGUUUUUUGUAUAUAUUUUCUUUUUGUCGUUUGUGAGGAGAGGAUGGAGAGAGUAAGUGGAGCGUGAGUGGAGCAGGGAAUGGUUACUGAGUGGGGAGAGAGUGGAGUGAAGAGAGUCUUUUGUUUUUGUUUUUUUUUUGUCGUUUGUGGGAAAGCAAAGAGAGAGAAGAUGGACUGAAUAGUGAAUUGAAUAGUGAAUGAGGGAGUUUGUUAGGAUUUGAGAGAGAUAGUGGGGAGUAGCUGGCAGACCGUUGGGAACGUGAGUGGAUUGGGAGUGGAUUCUGAAUUUUGUUUUUUUUGCGGAUUGGGUAUCCAAUGUAAUAUAUAUAUUUAUCUUGUACUUACUAUUUAUUUAAGAAAAUAAAAUCAACAACAAAAAAAAUCUAACUAAUAUAAAAAAAACUAACUAAUAUUAAAAAACAAAUAUUAUUCUAAUUUCUUUUANCUAAUAAGAUAUUAUUCUAAUUUCUUUUUUAAAUAUCAAAAAUAUUGACCAAUUAAAAAUCGGUACAAAUUUAAUUUCGGAAAAUUAAACCAAUCACACUAAAUUUGUCAGCACACAACCUAUUUUUAAAAAAAUACAGUCUUUCCUCAAUUUUAACGAUUCAACAUUUUUUGAUUCUCAAUAAAUUCAUUUUGCAGACUUCUUAGGUGUUUUCAUGAUGCAAAUGUAUGUCAUGUUAUGCAUAUGAUGCUAAAUUAAAAAGAAAUAAAUUCUACGAAAUCUAAAUGCCGGACAAAUUGGGGUAGAAGCAUCACCCAUGCAGCUAGAGGACGAGAAGUGAAGCCAGUUGUGUGGUAAAGAGUUAGCUUGGUGAAGGUAGCUUGGGCGAGGCCAGCUGGUAGAAAACUAACUUGGGUGAGAGUCAGAUGAGGGAUUUGUUUUGUCUAUAUCACUUGAGGAUUUUUUAGGGCCGAAAUUCUUUAAGUGGAUGAGGUUGUACACCUAUUUAUUGAAUAUUAUAUUAAUAAUUAUAAUUUUAUGUGUGUACUAAUUUACUAUUUGUUUGAUAAUUGAGAUGUGUUAGGCGCAACAAAUUGGUGGGAUUAUUGCGUAGAAGAAUAUGGAGAAGUGUUAUGGGUGGUGAUUUAGUUUAUAAUUUUUAAUUAAUUAAAAAAUAUUUUAGUGUUUUAUUUAAUAAAUAAAUAAAAAGGAAUUAAUUUUGGGAUGGAAGUGCGAAUUGUGAUCAAUUAAAUAUAAUGUAGUUUAAUAUAAGUUGUGCCUUAAUGAAUUUAGAAAGAUAGAUUAGGUUUUAAUUUAAGGAGGAGAGAGUGAAGGAUUUUUUUACGGUAGGUGAGAGUUUUUGGAAUGAAGGAAAAGAGGCAAGAGAGAAGAAGAAAUGAAAACCUCGUGAGAGCUCUAGGGGAGAAUAAACCAAACUUGGAUUUAUGUUGAAAUCCACACUCUUAUGGAGAAUUUAUAUCAUCUUGCGUGAAACAGAUUAUUAUCACCACACAAUGACAAUGAAAGAACAUAAUUUGAGAAGAAAGAAGAGCGAUGGAGAAGAAGAAUAUUUUCUGCAAAGUUUCUUUAUGCCCGCAACCAGUGGAACAUUCUUUUAUUCACUUUGCAACUACAAAAUUUUGUGAUACAAUGAUGAAUACAAUAUUAUCGAACUAGACUAGUUACUCCCUCUAUUUAUAGAUUUAGUUAACUUACUCAUAGAUCAAGCCCAAAACUAUAAAGUCUGAGAUAGUUACAACACUAAAAAUAAGGCCUACGUCGAAAUCCUGUGAUGAGCAAAUGCUUCGAUCUUGACACAUACACUCGCACAUAGGUGAUUCUCACUUCUUUUUUUUCGGCAACCUGCUUCGAACAAGAGAUUACAAUUAACACACCACCUAAUUCAUUAUGCAUAGCAUCUACAUUCAUCAUAACUCUUAGUCUUCUGGCACUUUGACCCACAACUCCCUUCGUCAUGAUGUUUGCUAUCGUGAUCUCUUCAUGUAGUUCUCCAUAUUCAUCUUCCCCUCUCUUGCUCUCGAAGAUAAUGGACUCAUUUGAUAUGUUGCUCAUCGACAUGUGCUAUCCGGAUUCUUAGCUAGAUGAUAGCUGACAUUGUUGAUCGAUCUUCAUGGUAUUUCUCCAUGCUCUUCUGCUAUAUCCUUUUGACCAGAUCAGCAUCACGUUGCUUGACAUGCACAAAGAAGAGAACAUCUAUAUAUUCUACUUAGCGACGACUAAUGUCACACUGGCUCCUUUCUCAACUCAAGCAAUUGUGCACCACCUAGCAUAAACACAAGCAACUGUGGAUUUUCGUCCUCAUCACACUACACCUACUUGAGUCAGUGUAUACCCAUAUAGUUUGCAUUGUUUUCCUUAUCAGUUGCAUGAAACAAAAUGCCAUAGUGAGAAUCCUUUCAGAUACCUUAGUAUCUCUUCUCGCUUUAGUGAUACCGUUUGGUGAUGCAGUGAAUUAUCACCAUACUCACUAUAUGCUAUCUAGGCCUUGUGUGAGAAUGAUAUCGAGUGCCCAAUAAAGUCUUCUAUAUUGAUUGGGUCGACAUCAUAUUCAUCUGGUCUUUCAACAAUUGUAAUCUGGGCUCAACUAGAGGUCAAAGUUGGGUUAUAAUCUUGCAUCUAAAAUCUCUGGAGUAUUUCGCCGCAUACCUUCUGUGAGCUCAUCAAACCUCUUCACUCUUGAGAUUCGAUUCCAAGGAAUAUGAAUGUCACCCAAAUCUGACAUAUUUGAUUCCUGUUGAAUCACCUUUGAAGUUUUCGAUAUCUUUCUUGAGCUACCUGUUAUCAACAACGUACAUCGAUAUAGAGACAUAGUAUAGCAAUUCACUCUGUUUUUUUACAUAUUACUGCUUGUUCAGUUUUCACUUUACAAAUUCCUUUCCUUAGGAAGCCAUCUAUUAUCUUGUUCAAGUCUUGUGAGCUGUUUAAUGCCGUACAAGCGGCUUUAUGCAGCAUGUACACCUUUCUUUCUUCGCCUUGUUUCACAACCCAGCUGGUUGUGCACCAUAAACUUCUCUCUAAGGGUCCAUUAAAGGAUGCACAUUUCACAUCCAUAUGACACAUCUGCCAGUUGUUCAUGUUGGUUAAGCCACAACCAAACCUGAUUGUUUCGAUCUAGCAAGAGGUGCAAAACUUCGUCGAAGUCGAUCCUUUCUUUUGAAAAAUUUUCUCCAAAAGUUCCGCCUAUGUGUCAAGUCACAAUUUCCUUGGGAUUCACACCUUCACCUUGUAUACCCACUUCACAUCGAUUAUCCUUCUUGUUGGGGAAUUUCAUACAAGUGUGACCAGUGUUGUUGAUUCAAUUGAUCGCGGUUCUUCGUUCAUUCUUUCACCCAUGUCGAUCUGUCAGUCCUCAGUUAGACAUUGACUGGGUCACAUCUGCGUGAAAUGCAUAUGUAACAACUCACCUCUUCGAUGAUCCAUUAUCAGUCUAAUGUAUCACACAUUCUCUACACCUUGCAGGCACGUGUUCUGUUCUUUGAGUCUGCUUUAGGCACUGUUUACCUUGACUUCUUGUCAAGACUUCUUUUCGAUCUCACUUAGCUGCAUGCUUCAUCGUAAGAUUCUCCACUGAAUCCUUCUAAUAUUCUCAAUCAAUCCCUUCCUAUAGAUGCAUAUAUGUCAUAUCUCCCUACUGUCACACUUGCUGCCACUGUGUCGAAUAACGGUGUAUUCUCGUCGAAUGAAUAUACCUAUCAGAAUUCACUGAUUGACUCGUCUAAUAAGUUUUCUUCACAACAACUGAUCCGGGCACGUUGUUAAUGUGCUAGAUCGCAACCGUCUCAAGAUGAUUCAAGCUAGACUUGUACAUCACACAACAUUCUUAUGAGACGGUAUUCUCUCUUAGCCUUUCAGUCGGAAUAUCUUGUUCAGGAUACUAUGUUCUGCAGCUAGAAUAACUUUCCCAUAAUUCUUUACGGUAUGAUGAUUGCCUGUCUCAAACAUACUUCUAACCAUAUUCACAUCGAUGGUUCUAUUUCUGUUAAGCGAUCUCAUUCAUGCUGUGAGUUGUAGGGUGACACCACCUCUAUGCAGCAUCUCGCUGUCUUACAUGAUAUGCUGUAAAGGUAUUCAGACAAUUCUCCACCACCAUCAGUCCUUGCCAGAAUCUUGUUCCUAUAUAAUGUUUCUUUGUCUUUUCGACCAUAAUUUAAACUUCGCAUAGUACAUCGAUCAUCUUCAGUUCUGUCUGAUAGUAUCAUCCAUGUUUUUGAUUGACAUCAUCAUAUCAUGAAUGUGACAAAGUAUUUAUUACCCACACAUGAAAUCGCUACCUGCGAUAUGACAUAUACAUCAAGAGUAUAUGCUUCAAGAAUGCUCUGUAUCGACUGAUUCCUGCAUCCUUAUUGAAGUGUUCUUAUGUCUGCUUCCGCCUGCAUUACAUGUCUACACACUUCUGUUUGAUGUCGGUAUUUUAUCUGAAACCAUAUUUUUACCUGUGAAUUUCUGAUGUCUUUUGAAAUGAUAUGACUAAGGUCUAAUUCCUUAUAUUCGAUCCUUUUGUUUGAAGCUCACUCUGUCUUUUCGAAGUGCUAUUAUGCUCCCAUCAAUUAUAGCUCAAUGCUUGAAGGUUCUUAUUCUAAGACAUUAGCGGCCUUCAAGGAUCAACGUUCCAGUUAGUAACUUAUCAUCUUGUCUUUGAUCUCGACACCUUUAUGUCUUUUCGACUAACUGCCUUACUGUAGAAAUAAUUGCUUAUCAGUUGGUAUGUAUACAACACAUUUGAAAUUACUGAUGCAGUCUUGCAGUUUCUUCAAUAAUCGCACAUCACCAACAUCUUCAUACGCUAAGGGUUGUCAUUUGCAGAUUUACAGCGUUCUUCAUUCUGAUGCUUUAUCGUUGACAAACCAAUAUUUCCUUCUCAGACUGUGUGUAAAGCAUCCUGAGUCAGAGUGGACUGUCUUGAAAUCCGCCAUCAUCUCCCCCGUGUAACCAGUAAGCAACCUUAUUUUCUUUGCUUUUCUCAUCUUUGCAUAAUUUCUUGAUUCUUCUGUCUUCUGGAAAAUCACUGAAUAGUACCAUGCUUACUAGAUUGUAAAUUGAAAUAUGACUCUUUCUGGCUUCUUGACAUCACCUCUUCCGUCUACUGCCACAACCACCUCUUUGGUUGCUUGGUUCUAGGGUCUUCUUCUGAUGCUACCAGUUUCGCUUCUUGUUGUUCGAGCCCAGUCGAAUGUUGUGCCUUCUAUCCUUUCUUUCCUCAACUUUCCUUUGCAUUUCCUUCUUUGAUAUUGCGCCUGCAAGCCAUAUCACUCUUUGACUUUCCUGAACUUUUUCAGUCACAUUCUUGUGUUCAUGAGGAUUCAAGAUGCCCCUUAGAAGCUGUCUUCUUUGUCAGCAUUUUACAAAUUUUUCAAUCUUCGUAUGGCUACUUAUCACAUGAUAGGUCAGAAUUGGAGCCAACGACCAUCAAGAUCUUUCCAACAACCGAGCUUUAAUGUCAACACUUCUCCACAAUGACCUUGAUUUCAAUUCACCAUUUCGAUAAACCUACAGGUGAAAAAUCAGUUAUGUCUUUCAUUGUCUGUCGCAUCAUAAGCAAUUCAUACGUCCUUUUGUGAGUCUUGUACAUUACCUCCUUUCAACCUGUCCCGCCUCAAACACUUCUCCAGAAUAUUAACCAUGCUUCCUUUGCGUGACUCUGACAUGCACUAACCUUGUUCAAUUAUUCGAUCAGACAGCAUUGCUUGCAUUAUAAAGAGGAUUUGUUAAUAUUUCUUCUAAAACAAUUUUCUUUAUGGAAGUAGCCUUUCUGAUCUGUUGGACUUUCUGCAAGAGUUGUUACUGCUUUGUUUUCAUAGAUCCCAAGAGAUCCUUUGAUAAAAUAAACAACCUUUAUCUGCUUGACACCAAUUCUCAUAUUGUUGUUCUUGAGAAUCAGAAGAUUCGAUGGAAAAUGCCAUUUGAUAUUAUUGCCAUUGUAGAUUUCUUUACAAAAAUCGCUUCAACAACAAACGGAAAGCUCUUGGAUUACCCAGAUGUUGGAAAUCCACACAACGCUAUGCGAGAAUUCUAAUCCAUCUUACCAUGAGACCAUUUGUUAUCACGCAGCACAUGACAAUGCAAGAGCCAGAAAGCAAUUGAGAAAGAGAAAGAAAAGACGAUGGAAGAAGAAGAAUUAUUUUUCAAUUAGAGUUUCUCUCUGCCAGACUUGUGAAAACUCUUUAUUCACUACUUGCAAACUACAAAAUUCUAUGAAUACAACAUUCAACAGAUAAGGUCUAUACUCCUCGCUACUUUAUAGAUUUAGACUUAACUUAUACUCUUAAGUCAAGCCCGUACAAUUAUAAAAGCCAAAGCUAAUUAGCACUCUAAAAUAGCGCAAGUCGAAAUCUGAUGUGAAACACAUGCUUAGACACUUCGAACACCCACUAGUACAACUUUGACAUCUCUCAGACAUUUUAGGUGUUUAUUCAUGAUGCAAAUGUAUGUCAUGUUAUGCAUAUGAUGCUAAAAUUAAAAAAUGAAAUAAAUUCUACGAAAAUCUAAAUAUGCCCGGACAAAAUUGGGGUACGACAGCAUCACCCAUGCAGAUAGAGGACCGAGAAGUGAAGCAGUUGUGUGGUAAAGAGAUUAGCUUGGUGAAGGUAGCUUGGGGAGGACCAGCUGGUAGAAACAUAACUUGGGAGCUUGAGAGUCAGAUGAGGGAUUUGUAUCUUAGUCUAUUCACUUGAGGUAAUUUUUUAGGGCGAAAAUUCUUUAAGUGGAUGAGAGUUGUAACACCCUAUUUUUCUAGAAAUUAUUUAUAUUAAUUAAUUAUAAUUUUAUGUGUGUAUCUAAUUAUUAUUUGUGUGAUAAUUGAGAUGUGUUAGGGCAACAAGAGUGGGUGACUAUUGGGUAGAGAGUAUGGAGAGUGAUUAGAGGUUGGUAGAUUUAUUUAUAAUUAUUUAAUUAAUUAAAAAAAUAUUUUAGUGUUAUUAUUUAAAUAAAUAAAUAAAAAGGAAAUAAUAAUUUUGGGAUGGAAAGUGCGAAUUGUGAUCAAUUAAAAUAAAUAAUGUAAGUUAAUAAUAAGUUGUGCCUUAAUGGAAUAUUAGAAAGAUAGAAAUUAGGUUUUUAAUUUAAGAGGAGAGAAGUGAAGGAAUUUUUUUACGGUAGGUGAAGUUUUUGGAAUUGAAGGAAAAGAGGCAAGAGAAGAGAAAAGAAAUGAAAACCUCGUGAGAGCUCUAGGGAAGAGAAUAACCAAAAACUUGGAUUUUGUUGGAAAUCCACCACAAUCUAUGGAGAAUUUAUAUCAAUCUUGAUGAACAAGAUUAUUAUCACCCACACAAUGACAAUGAAAAGAACAUAAUAAUUGAGAAAGAAAAGAAAGAGCGAUGGAGAAGAAGAAUAUUUUCUGCAAAGUUUCUUUAUGCCCGCAACCAGUGGAAAACUUCUUUAUUCACUUUGCAACUACAAAAUUUUGUGAAUACAAUGUUAUGAAUACAAUAUUACAAGAACUAGAGUUACUCCCUCUAUUUAUAGAUUUAGGUUAACUUACUCCAUAAGUCAAAGCCCAAAACUAUAAAAGUCUGAGAUAGUUAACACUACUAAAAAUAGGCCUAAGUCGAAAUCCUGUGUGAAGCAACAUGCUUCGAUACUUCGACACACUAGUACAACUCGACACACUAGGUGAUUCGUCACUUCCUUGCUUUUUUCGAGCAACCUGCUUCGACACAAGGAAUUACAAUUCAACACACCACCUAAUUCAUUAUGCCUAAGCUAUCUACAUUCAUCAUAACUCUUAGUCUUCUGAGCACUUUGACCCACACUCCCUUCGUCAUGAUGUUUGCAAUCUGACUCUCAGUUCUGUAGUGUUCCAUAUUCAUCUUCCCAUCUUCUACUUGCUCUCGAAGAUAAUGGAACCUCAUUUUGAUAUGCUUGCUUCGACCAUGUGCUAUCGGAUUCUUAGCUAGAUUGAUAGCUGACAUGUUGUCGAUCUUCAUGGUAAUUUCUCCAUGACUCUUCGCUAUUAUCUCUUUGACCAGAUUCAGCAUCCACGUUGCUUGACAUGCACAAAGAGAAACAUCUAUAUAUUCUACUUAGCACGACAAUAAUGUCACUACUGGCUCCUUUCUCGAACUCCAAGCAAUUGGUGCACCACCUAGCAUAAACACAUAGCCAACUGUGGAUUUUCGAUCCUCAUCAUCACUACACCUACUUGAGUCAGUGUAUCCCAUUAGUUUGCAUUGUUUUCCUUCAUCAGUUGCAUGAAACAAAAUGCCAUAGUUGAGAAUUCCUUUCAGAUACCUUAGUAUCCUCUUCGCCGCUUCUAGAUGUGAUACCUUUGGCUUAUGCAUGAAUCUACUCACCAUACCUACACUAUAUGCUAAGUCAGGCCUUGUGUGAUAAAUGUAUCGAAGUGACCCAAUAAGUCUUCUAUAUUGGAUUGGGUCGACAUCAUAUUCAUCUGAGUCUUUCAACAAUUGUAAUCUGGGCUCAACUAGAGUCAAAGUUGGGUUAUAAUCUUGCAUCUAAAAUCUCUUGAGUAUUUCGCCUGCAUACCUUCUUGAUGCAUCAUCAAACCUCUAUCACUCUUGUAGAAUUCGAUUCCAAGGAAAUAUGAAAUGUCACCCAAAUCUGACAUUUUGAAUUCCUUGUUGAGAUCACCUUUGAAGUCUUCGAUAUCUUUCUUGCAGCUACCUGUUAUCAACAAGUCAUCGAUAUAGAGACAUAGUAUAAGCAAUUCACUCUUGUUUCUUCUUACAUAUACUCCUUGUUCAGUUUUUCACUUUACAAAUUCCUUCUCCCUUAGGAAGCCAUCUAUCUUCUUGUUCCAAGCUCUUGGAGCUUGUUUAAGCCCGUACAGGGCUUUAUGCAGCAUGUACACCUUUCUUUCUUCGCCUUGUUUCACAAACCCAGCUGGUUGUGCACCAUAAACUUCUUCUUCUAAGGGUCCAUUAAGGAAUGCACAUUUCACAUCCAUAUGACACAUCUGCCAGUUGUUCAUGUUUGUUAGACCACAACCAACCUGAUUGUUUCGAUCCUAGCAAGAGGUGCAAAAACUUCGUCGAAGUCGAUUCCUUCUUUUUGAAGAAAUAUUUUCUCCAAAAGUCUCGCCUUGUGUCAAGUCACUUCUCCUUUGGGAUUCAACUUCACCUUGUAUACCCACUUCACAUCGAUUUCCUUCUUGUCUUGGGGCAAUUCAACAAGUGACCAAGUGUUGUUGACUUCAAUUGACUUCGGUUCUUCGUUCAUUUCUUUCACCCACUUCGAAUCUUUCAGUGCCUCAGUUGCAUUGACUGGUUCAACAUCUGCGUGGAAAGCAUAAUGUAACAACUCACCUCUUCAUUGACCAUAUCAUCUAAUGUAAUCACACAUUCUUGCAACCUUGCAGGCACGUGUCUUGUUCUUUGAGGUCUGCUUAGGCCUGUUUCACCUCUGACUUCUUGUCGAACUUCUCUUUCGACUUCACUAGCUGGUUCAUCAUGUAAGAUUCUCACUGAAUCCUUCUUAAUAUUCUCAAUCCAAUCCCAUUCCUUAAGCUCAUAUAUGAUCAUAUCCCUACUGAUCACCACUUGCUUGCUCACUGGAUCGAAUAACUUGUAUUCUCCAGUCGAAUGAUAUCCUAUCAGAAUCAUCUGACUUGACUUGUCAUCAAGUUUUCUUCACAACUGAUCCGGCACGUGUCUAUGUGCUAUAGAUCCAAACACCUUCAGAUGAUUCAAGCUAGGCUUUACACCAGACCAACAUUCUUAUGACGUGAUUCCUUUUAGCUUCUUCGUCGGACAUCUGUUCAGGAUAUAUGUUGCAGUCGACAUAACUUCUCCCCAUAAUUCUUUAGGUAGAUGCUUGCCUCUCAACAUACUUCUAACCAUAUUCAUGAUGGUUCUAUUCUUCCUUUAUGCGACUCCAUUCUGCUGUGGAGUGUAGGGUGACACCACCUCAUGCACAAUCCCUUCUUUCACACAUAAUGCGUCAAAGUAUUUCGACACAUAUUCUCCACCACCAUCAGUCCUCAGAAUCUUGAUCUUUAAAUUGUUUUGUCUUUCGACCAUAGAUUUAAACUUGGCAAAUACCUCGAUCACUUCACGUUUCUUCUUGAUCAAGUAAGUCCAUAGUUUUUGAUUGAAAUCAUCUAUGAAUGUGACAAAGUAUUUAUUACCUCCAAUCGAAUCCACCUGGAUAGGACCAUAUACAUCAGAGUAUAUGACUUCAAGAAUUGCCUUCGACCUAUUUCCUGCAUCCUUAUUGAAGUUGUUCUUAUGUUGCUUCGCCUGCAUACAUUCUUCACACACUUCGUUUGGAAUGUCGAUUUUUAGUAAUCCUGAAACCAUAUUUCUUCUCUUGAAAUUUCUGAUGUCUUUGAAAUUGAUAUGACUAAGUCUAUAAUUCCAUAUCCAUUCAUCUUUGCUGGCUGCUGUUGCAAGGUACUUAUGCUCCAUCACAUUUAGCUCAAUCUUGAAGGUUCUAUUCUAAGACAUUAGGGCCUUCAAGAUCAACCUUCCAUUUGAGUCGAGAACUCUCAUCAUCUUGUCUUUGAUCGACACCUUGUAGUUCUUUUCGACUAACUGCCAUAUACUGAGAAAAUUGCUUUUCAUGCUUGGUAUGUACAACACAUUUGAAAUUACUGACCUCUUGCCAUCUUUCCUCAUAAUCAGAACAUCACCAACAUCUUCAACUGCUAGAGUGUUGUCAUUUGCAAAUUUCACCAUGUUCUUCAUUGAGGCCUUUAUGUUGACAAACCAAUAUUUCCUUCCAGACAUGUGUGAUAAGCAUCCUGAGUCCAAGUACCACUGGUCCUUGAAUCUCGCUUCAUCUCUCGUUGUAACCAUAAGCAACAUCUAUUAUUCUUCAUGUUUCUCCAUCUUUGCAUAAAUUUCUUGAUUCUUCUGCUUUUCUGGAAAAUCACUAGAAUAGUUACCAUGCUUCUAACAAUUGUAAAAUUGAAUGUGACUCUUAUCUGGCUUUUGACCAUCACCUCUUCCUCUACCUGCAACACCACCUCUUUGGUUGCCUUGGUUCUAGGGUCUUCUCUGAUCCUACCAGUUUCCUUCUUGUUGAUUUCGACCAGUCGAAUUGUUGUAGCCUCUUCUACCUUUGUUUCCAUUCCAACUUCCUUUGCAUUUCCUUUCUUUUGAUGAUUGCGCCUGCAAAGCCAUAUCACUCUUUGACUUUCCUGUAACUCUUUUAGUCAUUCUUUGUUCAUGAGAUUCAAGUGCCCCUUGAAGCUCUUCCUUUGUCAGAUUUUACAAAUUUUUCAACUCUUCUAUGGCUACUAUCACAUGGUCGAACUUUGGAGCCAACGACCUCAAGAUCUUUCCAACAACAGAUCUUAAUGUCAACACUUCUCCACAUACCUUGAUUUAAUUCACCAGUUUCGUAACCUUGGUGAAGAAAUCAGUUAUGCUUUCAUUGUCUUCCAUCUGAAGCAAUUCAUACGUCCUUUUGUGAGUUUGUAACCUUACCUCUUUCACCUUGUCCCCGCCUCCAAACUACUUCUCCAGAAUUUACCAUGCUUCUUUCGUUGACUCUACAUCACUAACCUUUUCAAAGUUAUUCGAAUCAACACAUUGCUGGAUUAUAAAGAGAGAUUUGUAAUAUUUCUUCUUCAAUUCUUUAUGUGUAGCCCUUUCUUGAUCUGUUGCAUUUUCUGCAAGCGUUGUUACUCUUUUCUUCAUAAGAUCCCAAAGAUCUUGAUAACAUAACACAACCUUUAUCUGCUUGCACCAAUUCUCAUAAUUGUUGUUCUUGAGAAUCAGAAGAUUCGAUGGAAAAUGCCCAUUUGGAUGAUUCAUUGCCAUUGUGAUUUUCUUCCAACAAAUCGCUUAAACCGAAGCUCUUGAUACCAGAUGUUGGAAAUCCACCACAACCUAUGGAGAAUUUCUAUCAAUCUUGAUGAACCAGAUUGUUAUCACCCACACAAUGACAAUGAAAAGAGCAGAACAAUUGAGAAAGAAAAGAAAGAACGAUGGAGAAGAAGAAUAUUUUCAUUAGAGUUUCUCUCUGCCACAACUUGUGGAAAACUUCUUUAUUCACUUUGCAACUACAAAAUUCUAUGAAUACAACAUUGCAAGAAUAAGGGUUACUCCCUCUAUUUAUAGAUUUAGCUUAACUUACUCCUUAAGUCAAAGCCCUAAAUUAUAAAAGCCCAAAAUAAUUAACACUACUAAAAAUAGGCCUAAGUCGAAAUCCUGUGUGAAACAACAUGCUUAGACACUUCGACACACUAGUACAACUUGACACACUAGGUGAUUCGACACUUCUUUGCUUCUGUCGAACAACUUACUUUGACACAAGGAAUUACAAUUCAACAUAUUUUUCUAUAAUUACAAGGUAAGGGUGGAAAUUUGUUUCAAUAAUAGGGAUAUGAAUAGAAGGACAGAGGAAGGUUUAAUUCUUUUUGGAUUGAUGAUGAAUGUUGAUAUUUGUUGAAUGAAAUUUAUGUUUUAAAAUAUUCAUGUAUGCCCACCAUUUAUAAUGUUUGAAGGUUUUAGGAACUGAUAUAAUAUAUAGAUCCAUGAUUAUAUGAAUAUAAGUAGUGAUUGAUAUAUGUAUGUUUAUGACUGAAUUUAAAAUUAUAAAAUAUUUUUGAUGAUGAUUUCAUUGGCGUUUUUGGGGUUGUAGAAGAUGAAAAUCGUGCUGGAAAUUUUAGAAAAAUAAAAACUUUUUGUUAAUGCCUUAGUGCAUGGUUUUGAUCGUAACUUUCAACUCGUAAAUUAUUUGGGACGAGUUUUAUAGUGUUAGGUAGCUGAAACAGAGGGCUAUAACUUUGUUUUAGGGAUAAAAUAUUUUUGGGGAUGAUUUCAUGGACGUUUUUGGGGUUGGAGAAGAUGAAAAUCGUGCUAGAACUUUUAGAAAACAAUAAUAUUUUGGUAAUUUCUUUGUGCACGGUUUUGAUAAUAACUUUGAACUCGUAAAUCAUUUUGGAAAGGGGUUGGAAAUGUUGGGUAGCUGAAACAGAGAGCUGUAACUUUGUUUCAGGGAUAAAAUAUUUUUAAUGAUUUUAUCAGAGGUUGGUAGUAGGUGAGAAACAAGUGUAUGAUGUGACAAAUAUGUAUAAGGUCCAUAUUGACAAAUUAUUUGAUGUGUUAUGAAUGAUUGAGAUGAUGUAUUUGGUUGUAUUGUGCGAUUGAUUGUAGAUCACUAAAUAUUAUUAUAAUUGUUGUGUUAAUUGCAUUAUUACCGUGUCAUACAUUCAUUGUUGAUAUGUUGAAGGAGAUAAGUCUUAGGUCCGAAGGGGGACGAAAGACUUAUCUAAAACUCAGAAGGGAGAGUUCAAGAUUUUGAAGGGGAAUCAGGUUUGCAAGAAUAACCAAAUGUUGAAUUGAUACCACAUGCAUAUGAGUUGUUGUCAUGAGUCGCAUAACAUGAACGUAUUAUAUGUGUGAAAUAUGACUAUGUGUGAUGAUGGUAUUGUUGUAUGUGACGCUGAUGAUAAUUUGGGCGUGAGAAUGUGAUAUGUUAUUAUGCACAAUGGUGUAGAUGUUGUAUUAUAUUUUACAUUCUAUGUUGUUAUUAUUGAAAUGAAUUUUCUCACCCCUUCUGUUUAAAUGUUACCUUUACAUGGUCAUCAUGCAGAUACUCAAGAGUAAAGACGAUGUUGUGAGUGGAAGUUAGCUCACGGAGCUAUUUAUUUUAGUUUAUUCGUGUUAGCUUUGGUUAUGCUCUGAUAUGUAACACUAGGGAGCAAAUUAUUUAUUUUGUGUUGAAAUUUUCUAAGAGACAAUGCAUGCUCUCGUAUUUGUUUUAUGUUUUGGUGUGAUAGUACUUGGAGAAGACUCAUGAGUCAGUGCUUUUAAUUUUGUUAUGAAAACUAUUAUGAGAUUUUAAAUUGGUAUAUUUUUUUUAUUAUGAUUCUACUGCCAAGAUAUUCAAAUGAGUUGGAUAUCAUGUAAACAUCCUAAGUGCAAAUGUAUGUAGUAAAAUAUUUUGUUGUAACAUGUGAUACGAAGCAGAUUAUGAUUAUUGUGAGUGACACCCUAAGUGAUUGUAUUUCGUUAAUUAAAUUCUUUGAUAAUUACACGCGGACUUUUAGGAUGUUACAAUAUCUCAUUUAUUUAAUUUAAUUUAAUUUAAUAAAAAACUGUCAAUUUUUAACAAUUUAAAAAUAAAAAAAAAGAAAAAAAAAGAAAAUGUAUCACCACGAUUACUUUGAACAAUCGUAGUGAAAUCUGGAUAAAUGUUAGAAUAAAAAAAAAGGAAAAAAAAGAAAGACAUCACUAUGAAAAAAGAUGUAAAAUAUAUCACAUCGGUUUGAAUAUUCAACCGUAGUGAAAUCUUGAUUGUAUUUAAUUUAUAUAAAUGAAUAAUAAAAAAAGGCAAUAAAUUCACAAAUUUUUUUGGCAUUGAGAUUGAACUUUACUAAAUAUCACCAUGGUUACUAUGAUCAACCGUGACAAUGUGUUAACUUAUUUUAAUUAAAAAAUAAUUAAAAAAAAUGAUGCCUGAUUUUAGAAAGUUCAUCACGGUCUUUCAAAGAACCAUAAUAAAAUAAACGUCUUGUAAUUGUUAAAAAAAGAAAACAUAUGAUCAUGGUUGAAAUAUUCAAUUAACUUGUAUUUAAUUUAAAAAUAAAUAAAAAAGAAAUGUAUCAUGGUUAAAUUUAAAUAUAUUCAAAUUAAUUAAACUAAAUGAAAACCAAACUGUUUUAAAAUUGUUAUAAUAUAUCGGAUCAAAUCAUUAUAACACUUCCUUAAAUAUUAAAAUCGACAUGCUAUUUAAUUUGAUAGUUUAAUUGUGAGAAACAAAUCAUUAUGAUAUAAUUUUUAUCUAAAAUUUUCAUUAUUAUAUGUGUAAUCAUUAUUGAUAUUUUUUUUAAGAAACUGCGUGGUUUAAAAAAUUCUUUAAGUCGGAUAGGACCUUAAUAAAUGAUAAAACUUAAAUAAGAGAAAAUAUAAAUUUGUAAAAAUAAAUCAUAACAAUUAUCAAUUGAAAAAUGGAUUUGAUUUAUAAAAUAUUAUAGACAUUAAGUAAUGCUUUUAAUUUUAAUUAUCAAAUGCAAAAAAUGCAAAACAAUGACGUUGUAACAACCCGUAUAAUAUAUAUUUAAAAUAAUAUCAUACAAGUGUUAUUAAUUGGUACUGUCACAACAUAAGUGCCUAAUGACAUAAUUAUAUAUAUAUGUCCAUAAUGUAAAAAAAAACAUAUGGCACAUGCCAUACAAUAGUGCCUAGAUAAAAUUCUAAGAACUAUGUACAUUAUCUUCAUUGUACACAACUCCACACUGGAAGAUCACGAUAAUCAGUGUAACACCCUUCUAAAUACCCCAAAUAUUUAAUUAAAACAACAGCAUAUAAAUCAAUAUCAGAGUAAUCAUGCACCAAGGGUGUCACAUAAUACUUCACAUGAUUCACCGUAAAAAUCAGUCAUGCUCUUACUUUAAUUCAACAUAAACACUUCUUUAAAAUAAUUCGCAGCGGAUGAAACAUCAACCUCUGUAAUAUCUUAAAUUAACAUUUAUUCAACAAAUAAAACAUCCCGUCCCGAUGUUACAUCUAUCAGAGCAUGACCCUCUAACCACACUAGACUUCAAGCACUAGCUUUAUUGCGACUCACUGCUCGUUACUCCUGAAAAAUAUGGCUGUAAGGGUAGUUCCUCAAUCGAUAUAAACAAUAUUAUAAUUUAUCAUGUUAUGUUAAGUAAUUCAUACGUUAAAUCACCCUAAUUAUAUCCUGCAGUCAUUUACGGAAUAAUCAACUAAAAUAUCGUGCUCAAUCACAACGUCAAUACAGCUUCAUAACAACAUACAAUGCAACUCAAAACAACAUAAAAUGCAACUCAAUGAGACUCGACUCUUCAUGCAUGUGGUACCCUUUUGGAGUAAAACCCCCAACUUAAAAUCACUGCCAGUUUAGUGGGCAUCAAGCAUAAGCUUCAACUUUCAACUUAAAAUUUUGCCAAUCCAGGCCAACGUGGUGUGAGCAAAAGCCCCAUAAUUUUGCCAAUCCAGGCCAACGUGGUGUGAGACGAAAGCUCCGACUUAAUGCAUAUGAAUGUUAUGGCAUGUACGACUUGCAACCUUAACAACAUAAGGCAACAGCAACACAACAGCUUUUUCACACACAACAACUUAAAAUCAACGUUGGCUCAUCAGCCUACUACUCAGUAUUUUAACGAAACAACUUAUAUUCAACUUUGGCUCAUCAGCCUACAACAAGGUUUUCAAAAAACAACUUAUCACAUAUUUGCAUCAACAUUCUACAACAUAAAACCCACAAAUAUUAUCCCUACGAUUAACUACAAUGGUUCAAUCACCAAUCACAUUUACAAACAUAAAAAGAUUAACUAUUUUCCACUCUGCAAAGACUCUGCUCAACUGGAGGGAGUCGGCACAAAGGCCCCUUGCGUCGACGCAUGGGGUCGACGCUUCACUCACGGGUCGGCGCCAAAAUGCCUUGCGUCGACGCAUGCAGUCGGCGCAUACCACGGGUCAGCGCACGCCGACCCUAUGGUCGACGCGUCGCAGCGCAGACUCAGUUUUUCUGAGUUAUUCCAAAGUUCUGUUAGCUUCACGCAGAUCAGGUUUUCCGGCCGCUUCCGCAUCUAAACCCUUUCUAAGAAAACCUAAAUUGCCUGUAAUUUAGUAGUGCGAAUCAAGUUUUUAAUUGUGAUCCGUGCUAUAGUCUAACAUUUACGACUCACACAACUAUCAAUUCAAUUUGCAGUUUUUAACACGGUUUAUCCAACGUCAAUUUCAGCAUAUACAGUCCCAAUUAGGGUUAAAUCAACGGCUUCUCACUACCCAUGACAUGUUAAUCUAUAAUACCCAUUAAACGACGAUAACCCCCCUUACCUGAGAUAAUCCGACAAUUCUCUAAGCUUUAGCUUUUCCGUUCCUCAACCGUGCUUUUCGGCUCUUUGCCCUUUUUCCUCUUCUCUGCAGCUUCUCUGAGUUUCACGUAAAUUUCUUUGUUGUUAAGAAUGAAACCCUUUUCUUUAUUCCCACUUAUAUAUAAUAUUUUCCAAAUAUUAUUAUUCCCAAUAAUAUAAUAAUAAUAAUAAUAAUAAUAAUCCAAUAAUCCAAUUUAUUAAUUAAAUUAAUUAAUUAUAUUAUCAACUUAAUUAAAUAAUUCUUUUUUCUUUAUUUGGGGUGUUACAACUCUCUCCCCACUAAAGGAGUUUUCGUCCUCGAAAACAUACCUCAAGCAAAUAACUCUGGAUAGGACUCUUUCAUCUGACUCUCCAGCUCCCAAGUCACAUUGCCCACCUGCUGGUCCUCCCCAAGCUACCUUCCACUAAGGCAAUCUCUUUACCCCGCAACUGCUUCAAACUCUCGAUCUUCAAUCCUCAUAGGCGAUGUUCAACAGUCAGGUUAUCUCUCACCUGUACAUCAUCUACUUGGUCACAUGCGACGGAUCAUGAAUAUACCUCCUCAACUGAGAACACAUGAAAACAUCAUGCAAAUUCGCAAGUGACGGCGGUAAAGCGAUACUGAUAGGCUACUUCUCCCUAUCCUCUCCAAAAUCUGAUAAGGACCAAUAAAUCGCGGUGUCAACUUCUUCGACUUCAAAGCUCGACCAACACCUGUUAUCGGAGUAAACACGAAGAAACACAUGAUCUCCCUCUUGGAACUCAAGUGACUUCCUCUCUUAUCAUGAUAACUCUUCUGACGACUCUGAGCAAUUCUCAUCUUUUCCUGAAUCAUCUUAAUCUUUUCUGUAGUCUGUUGAACAAUCUCCGGUCCAAACCACACACUCUCACCGGACUCAUACCAACAUAAAGGUGUCCGACAUCUCCUACCAUACAAAGCUUCAAACGGUGCCAAUAACCAAUACUCGAAUGAAAACUAUUGUUGUAGGUAAACUCAAUCAAGGCAAAUAACAAUCCCAAGCACCUCCCUUUUCCAAACACAAGCUCUCAAAAAGAUCCCUCUAAUGACUGAAUCGUCCUCUCAGUCUGACCAUCAGUCUGCGGAUGAUAUGCAGAACUCAAUCUCAGCUUAGUCCCUAAAGCCUUCUGCAAACCUUCCCAAAACUUCGAUGUAAAUCUAGGAUCUCUGUCCGAAACAAUACUCGACGGAAUACCAUGCAAACUUACAAUCUUUUCAAUAUACAACUCGGACUAAUCUCUCUAACGGAUAAUCCAUUCUGAUCGGAAUGAAAUGAAGCCGACUUUGUCAAUCUGUCAACAAUCACCCAAAUGGCUUCAAAAAUUCUACUUGUCCUCGGUAAACCAGAAACAAAAUCCAUACUGAUACUAUCCCAUUUCCACUCUGGAAUAGCCAACGUUGCAUUAGCCCAGACGACUUCUGAUGCUCAAUCUUUGACGUUCUGACAAGUCAAACAGGAAAUAAACAAAACUUGCAAUUUCUUUCUUCAUUCCUGGCCACCAAAUAACUUCUUCAAAAUCAUGAUACAUCUUCGUGCUCCAGGAUGAAUACUCAACCCACUACGAUGUCCUUCCUCCAGAAUACUCUUCUUAAGCUCGGUAACAUCCGGAAUACACACCCGACUACAAAUUUCAAAAUACAUUCUCGUCAACUCUGAAUUCGCCCACUUGACCUUGAUUCACUAGAGUCAACUUAUCAACCAGAAGCAUAUCAGAUUUCUGACCCUCUCUGAUCUCGUCCAGAAUACCACUUGUUAACUUCAACAUUCCCAAUUUAACACUAUUGUGAGUACUCUCACACACCAAGCUCAAGUCUCUAAACUGCUCAAUUAAAUCCAAUUCCUUAACCAUUAGCAUAGACAUAUGUAAUGAUUUCCGACUCAACGCAUCAGCCACUACGUUUGCUUUACCCGGAUGGUAAUUCAAACCAAAAUCAUAAUCCUUCAGAAAUUCUAACCAUCUCCUCUGUCUCAUAUUCAGCUCUUUUCUGAUCAAACAAAUACUUCAAACUCUUAUGGUCACUGAAACCUCAAAAUCUUGACCCGUACAAAUAAUGCCUCCACAACUUCAGAACAAACACCACAGCCGCCAACUCUAAAUCGUGCGUCGGAUAGUUCCCCUCAUGAACCCUCAACUGUCUUGAAGCAUAAGCUAUAACCUGCUUAUUCUGCAUCAACACGCCACCCAAACCCAACAAUGAAGCAUCACAGUAAACUUCAAAUGGUUCCGACGAACUCGGUAAAUAUCAGAAUAGGAGCAGUAGUCAGCCUUCUCUUAACUCUUGGAACCUUCUUCACAUUUUGAGUCCCAAAUAAACGCUUGCCCCUUUCUAGUCAACAUUGUCAACGGUAACGCCAACUUGGAAAAUCCCUCAAUGACUUCCUGUAAUAACCAGCCAAACCAAGGAAACUUCGAAUCUCAGAACAGACUUCGGAGCUUCCCCACUUAGACACCGCUUCUAUCUUAGAAGGAUCAACAGCAACACCACCUCUUGAAAUCACAUGACAAGAAAACUAACCUUCUAACCAAAAUUCACACUUGGACAAUUUAGCAAAUAACUUCUUUUCUCGUAGAACUUCUAACCACUCUCAAAUGUUCAGCAUGCUCUUCUUCGGAUUUCGAAUACACCAAAAUAUCAUCAAUAAACACCACAACAAACUUGUCUAGGUACGGAUGGAAAUAUCCUAUUCAUAUACUCCAUAAAUACCCCAGGCGCAUUAGUCACACCAAAAGGCAUUACAGAAAUACUCAUAAUGUCCAUACCUGGUUCUGAAGCAGUCUUCUGAAUAUCCUCGGUUUUCACACGUAUCUGAUGAUACCCAGAUCUCAAAUCUAUCUUUGCUGAACACACUUGCACCAACCAACUGAUCCAUCAAAUCAUCAAUCCUCGGCAACGGAUACCGAUUCUUGAUCGUCACUUUAUUCAGUUGUCUGUAGUCCACACACAACCUCAUAGUACCUUCUUUCUUCUUAACCAACAACACUGGUGCACCCCACGGUGACACACUCGGACGAAUAAAUUUCUUAUCCAACAGAUCUUCCAACUGACUCUUCAGUUCAGUUAACUCAACGGCAGACAUACGGUACGGAGCCAUCGAUAUCGGCCUAGUACCAGGUACCAAGUCAAUAGAGAACUCCACUUCACGCUCUGGCGGCAAUUCAUUCACCUCUUCAGGAAACACAUCAGAAAAUCACACACCACGGCUAGAUCGCCAAUCACCAGUUUAUCUUUAGCCUCCAAAGUCGCUAACAGCAUGAACAACUUUGCUCCCUCAGCUACUGCUCCAUCCACUUGCCUUGCUGAUAGGAACAAACUCUUUUCCUCUACCAAUCUCAGGAAAGAUCGCCGUUUAUCAAAACAAUUGAUAGAAACUCGGUUGAACACCAACCAGUUCAUACCAGAAUAACAUCAAUCUGCACUAGUGGAAGACACACUAGGUCCAUCCAAAGUCUCUACCAAAAAUACUCAAAGGACAAUUUAAGCAAACCGACGUAGUAGUCACUGACCCUUCGCAGGAGUAUCAAUUACCAUACUACCAAACAUCUCAGAUAUCUCUAACUUAAGUUUCACAGCACAAUCCAAGAUAUAAAGGAAUGAGUCGCACCUGUGUCAAUAAUAGCUACAAGAGGAAAGCCAUUAAUAUAAAACGUACUCGGAUCAAACGAUCAUCAGCAGAAGUCUCAGAACCCGAUAAAGCAAAGACCUUGCCUCCUGACUGAUUCCCUUUCUCGGCUUCUGACACUGGCUUCCAAUUGCCCUUCUUCACCAACAUUAAAACAAAUCACUUCUUUGUGCUUGCAAUCAGCUAUUGCAUGCCCAGUCUUACCACAGCGAAAACACCUCUUUACUUCAGCAGUGCAUACAUUACUCUUAUGACCAGCCUGACCACAUUUGAAGCAACUAUACAGUAGGAGCACCUCCCCCACUAGCUCUCUGAGUCGGAGCAGCUCUUUGUUUCCCUUUCCCAGCUGGAACAUCAUACGGCUUGCCACGACUUUGAUGCUGCUUUCCCCUGCGGUCACUGACAAUCUUAUAAUGAGCAUUAUUGUCCUCUUCAAAUAUCCUGCAGCUAUCAACCAAUUCAGUAAAAAAUGCGUAUCUUCUGAUACCCAACAGCCUUCUUAAUUUCAGAGCGCAGUCCGUUUCAAACUUGAUGCACUUUGAAAUUCAGCACCCGCACAGUGUAAUGAGGAUAAAAUUUGGACAACUCCACAAAUUUCGCAGCAUAAUCAGUGACAGACAUGUUUCCUUGCUUCAGCUAAGGAAUUCAAUUUCCUUCUUACCACGGACAUCUUCGGAUAAUACUUCCUCAGGAAUUCCCUACGGAAUACAUCCCAAGUAACGUCUUCACCUGCCACAGUCAACCUCGUGAGUCUCUAGCCACCAGUCAUCAGCUUCGACUGCUAGCAUGUGAGUACCAUACCGAACCUUCUGAGCUGGAGUGCAAUCCAUAACACGAAAGAUUCUCUCAAUCUCUUUCAACCAUCCUAAAGCUGCAUCUGGAUCAUGCUUCCCUUUAAACACCGGCGGAUUCUCUCUCUGAAAAGUCGCCAAGCUACGUGAUCCAGCAUCUCCACCAGCAUUUGGCAAGUUCUGCACAGCUUGUGCCAUUGCUUGCAUUGCGGCAGCCAUUGCAGCGUCAUUCCUUCCAGCCAUUUCAACUUAUCAAUAACACAACUUAAAGUUAGAUGGUAACAAUACACAAUUGUUAGACAAAACGACACGACAACUGGCCGGACGGACCGACCUGCUCUGAUACCACUAAUGUAACACCCUUCUAAAUACCCCAAAUAUUUAAUUAAAACAACAGCAUAUAAAUCAAUAUCAGAGUAAUCAUGCACCAAGGGUGUCACAUAAUACUUCACAUGAUUCACCGUAAAAAUCAGUCAUGCUCAUUUAUUAAUUCAACUAAACACUUCUUUAAAAAUUCGCAGCGGAUGGAAACAUUCAACCUCUGUAAUAUCUUAAAAUUAACAUUUAUUCAACAAAUAAAACAUCCCGUCCCGAUGUUACAUCUAUCAGAGCAUGACCCUCUAACCACACUAGACUUCAAGCACUAGCUUCUAUUCGACUCACUGCUCGUUACCUGAAAAAUAUAGCUGUAAGGGUGAGUCCUCAAUCGAUAUAACAAAUAUUAAAAUUUAUCAUGUUAUGUUAAGUAAUUCUAUACGUUAAAUCACCCUAAUUAUAUCCUGCAGUCAUUUACGGCAUAUCAACUAAAAUAUCGUGCUCAAUCACAACGUCAAUACAGCUUCAUAACAACAUACAAUGCAACUCAAUAACAACAUAAAAUGCAACUCAAUGAGACUCGACUCUUCAUGCAUGUGGUACCCUUUUGGAGUAAAACCCCCAACUUAAAAUCACUGCAGUUUAGUGGGCAUCAAGGCAUAAGCCUUCAACUUUCAACUUAAAAUUUUGCCAAUCCAGGCCAACGUGGUGUGAGCAAAAGCCCCAUAAUUUUGCCAAUCCAGGCCAACGUGGUGUGAGACGAAGCCUCGACUUAAUGCAUAUGAAUGUAUAUGCCAUGUACGACUUGCAACCUUAACAACAUAAUAGCACAAGCAACACAACAGCUUUUUUCAACAACAACAACUUAAAAUCAACGUUGGCUCAUCAGCCUACUACUCAGUAUUUUCAACGAAACAACUAUAUUCAACUUUGGCUCAUCAGCCUACAACUCAGAGUUUUCAAUAAAACAACUUAUCACAUAUUUGCAUCAACAUUUCACAACAUAAAACCCAACAAAAUUAUUCCUCACGAUUAACUACAAUGGUUCAAUCACAAUCACAUUUACAACAUAAAAGAUUAACUAUUUUCCACUCUGCAAAGACUCUGCUCAACUGGAGGGAGUCGGCGCAAAGGCCCUUGCGUCGACGCAUGGGGUCGACGCUUCCCUCACGGGUCGGCGCCAAAUGCCUUGCGUCGACGCAUGCAGUCGGCGCAUACCCCACGGGUCAGCGCACGCCGACCCUAUGGUCGACCGCUCGGGCGCAGACUCAGUUUUUCUGAGUUAUUCAAAGUUCUGUUAGCUUCACGCAGAUCAGGUUUUCCGGCCGCUUCCGCAUCUAAACCCUUUCUAAAGAAACCUAAAUUGCCUGUAAUUUAGUAGUGCCGAAUCAAGUUUUAAUUGUGAUCCGUGCUAUAGUCUAACAUUUACGACUCACACAACUAUCAAUUCAAUUUGCAGUUUUUAACACGGUUUAUCCAACGUCAAUUUCAGCAUAUACAGUCCCAAUUAGGGUUAAAUCAACGGCUUCUCACUACCCAUGACAUGUUAAUCUAUAAUACCCAUUAAACGACGAUAAACCCCCUUACCUGAGAUAAUCCGGCAAUUCUCUAAGCUUUAGCUUUUCCGUUCCUCAACCGUGCUUUUCGGCUCUUUGCCCUUUUUCCUCUUCUCUGCAGCUUCUCUGAGUUUCACGUGAAAUUUCUUUGUUAAGAAUGAAACCCUUUUCUUUAUUCCCACUUAUAUAUAUAUUUUCAAAUAUUAUUAAAUUCCAAAUAAUAAUAAUAAUAAUAAUAAUAAUAAUAAUCCAAUAAUCCAAUUUAUUUAAUUAAAUUAAUAAUUAUAUUAUCAACUUAAUUAAAUAAUUCUUUUUUCUUUAUUUGGGGUGUUACAAUCAGCAUCCCUUGAAACAUUAUUAGACAACUUCUCUUGAAUUCAACCUGCAAGAAAAUUCCUGAAAAAUAACAACAAUAAUGGGAUGAGAUGAUAAUCUCAGUGAGUUCUCCUAUCAUAUGUGUCCACUCGGCUCUACAAGAUUCCUACUCGAUUCUAACUCAAGUAUUCACCUUCUGUUACUUGUGCAUCACUCGCAGCUUAUAACUAGGACUUGAGUAACUAAGGGAUAAUUACAAUGUAUGGAAACAUGUCACUUGAGUUCACAUAACUCAAUAAAUCACUAUUCGGAUUCACGAAACAUCAAUCCUCGAACGGACUUACGUCUAAGCCAGGCUCAAUUCAUGCAUGCUCGUAUGAUUCGACUUUCACGUGGAUAUCGGGUCCUCUAUGAGGCUUACUCCCCAGUUCAAGCGACCGUCACCCGUAUGGGACUCUAACCCACUUAGGUUAUCUUUCAUCGUAUGGGACUCUAACCCACUUAGGUGUUCACCUUUCCCCCAUGUCCGUCAUGGUUGGGGAUCAAACCCAAUUGAGGCAUGAAUCAUUGGUGUCACAUCCCCAUUUACUGCUUUACCUAAGCCUUCGAAGUGGUAUGUGCACAAUCACAACUAAUUCUGAAUACGUGAUUAAUUCUCAAUAACCAAUAGGACUUUCGGAGCAACACUCCUCACCAAAAUAGGACUUUUGGAAUAAAAGUUCCUCACCAAAAUAUCAAACCAAUUCUCAUGGUGUUCAUCAAAUACUAGGUGAUCACAUCCACCCAUUCACAAAGUAUUCAACAUGUUCCAUACAAUGCAUAUUGAUUCAUAAUCAAGCGAAUACUUGUUUGCAAUACACACCUAGGUAUCAUUGUGUUGAAGCAUCACCGUAUACCAUUUCCAUAACCUAAAUUAUCUUUCUAAGUCAUUCUCCUAGUUAUGCUCAUAGAUUUCCUCACUCAUCUUUAUAGAGUUUUAAUCAUACUAUUUUACAUCUAACAACAUCCAACCAAUUUAUAGCAUACACAUUAGCAUAUCAAAAUAUCAUACAAGAAAGACACAUAGUAGUAUAACAUGUCACAAUACACCCUAGGCAUAUCCGACUCACAACAUGCUCAUCAUUAUCUUAGGUUAUUCAAGUUGUUACAUACAAACAAGUCAAACAUAACCCAAGCAUAAAAUUAUCACUAUCCUUUACCAAGAAUUCUUGGUUAGCUCAUGGUCUCUCAUCACCAUGCAAUAUCUCAUUGUAUGAGCUUUUCAAAACUUUAAGUCUCAUAUCAAUCGGAUUCACGGUUCUUGAAUUAUGGCGAAAACAAGAACCAUAUAUUCAAUCAAGAAAACAACAACUCAUAAUAAAUAUAUAUAUAUAUAUAUAUAUAUAUAAUAAUUUAUAUAUAUAAUGAUGUUUUUGAAUCAUUAUAUGAUAGAGCAUUGAAAGAGCUUUCCAACGCCUCCAACUGCGUCCAAAACGGAUUUACGAAACUCAUUUUAUAGUGAAAACAUUGAACCAAUCGAUUGUUGACAAGGACCAAUCGAUUGUAUGAAGUUUCUGUCCAAAUUUUCACUACUUACAAUGGACCAAUCGAUUGAUCCCUGUAGCCAAUCGAUUGGCAUCAUAAAAAAUUCAACUUUUCUUCACCAUAACAUGAACCAAUCGAUUGGUUCUGCACGAUUGGCCUCUGUUAUUUCAUCAAAAAUUCAUUUUCUAACCACAACAAACUCCAUACUUAACCAUUCUAAACCAUACCAACACUUACACUAACACAAGUACACAUGAUUAACACUCAUAACUUCAAAGAUUAAGGUCAUACUUCAACAAUCAACACCAACACAAUAUAAUAUCAUGGUUUCAAUACAACAACACAACAUAACUCACACAAAAGUAUGUAGGAAUCAUGAUAUGAGACAUAGAAGCAUGAACAACAACAAAUUCACAAAACCUAAUCCCACUUCCAUGAAAAAGAUGAUUGGUGGUGAUGAUCAUAAUCUUCAUCAGCUUUUUCCUUCUUCUUCCUUCCUUCCUCUUCUUCUCUUCUUCCUCUUUCUCUUUUCCUCUCUCUUUCUCUCUUUGAUAACUCUCUCUUGCAUUCUUAUCUCUUCUUACUUCUUCUUAUCUACCACACAUAUAUACUAUAUAAUAUAUAUAAAUAAUAUAUAAUAUUAGAUAGUGAUAAAUAAUAUCUUAAUUGAUAUUUUGUCUUCAAGUAUCAAUUGACAAAUUAUUAAUAUUACCAAAAUAUCCUCUUUUGUACUUAUUAAUAUUAAUAUGUCUCUUUUAUUAAUAAUUAAUCUCUUCAGAAUUCACUGGUUACUCAAUUGGUCCUAACUGACAACAUUUAGAGCACAUAGGAGCUCAAAUUGUCUUACUAAUAACAAAUAGAGUAGAUAGGAACUCAAUUGGUCUCAAUUGACAACUAAUUGACAAUUUAAGGGGAUAUGAGAUAUUACAUAUGUAAUUGGAGGUUAAUACUUUUACAAUCUUCUUAAUUUUUUCACAAAUAUUUCACACACUACCUUUAGGUGGUUUGAUUUUCGUUUUAAGCGAUACGAUUAUCAAAACCUGUUUCAAUAUCUACAUGAACAUGCGUAAAAUUAUUUUAUCUUUAAAAAAAUAGUUUUUUUUUAUAUUUUUUAAAAUGGAUUCUAUAAAAUAUUUUUUAAAAUAGUAUAAGUUUUUAUAAAUUAAAAAAUUAAUUUUGACAUUCUAUAAACAUAUAAAACAUAGUUAAAAUUACAUUUUUUUUUAAAUUGUAUCUCAAAAAUAAAUUUUAUAAAGAAUUAUUUCAAAUUACUUUAAAAUUUUGAUAUUAAAUUUUUUUUUUAUAAAUGAUGAAAUACCUAAAAUAAUAUUUUAAAAAUAAUUAUUAAAACUAAAUUUUUAUUCAAAAUUUUUAUAAUUUUUUUUUUUAUAAAUAAUGUUUACACCAAAAUAUAUAAUACCAUAAAAAUGAUUUAAAAAACAAAACAAAAGCAAAUCGGUGAUAUAUCUUGUGACUAAUAAACAAAGUGAAAUAGUAUUCCCAUCUAAUUUUAAGUUAAAAAUAAUAGGUAAAUCAUCUAGUUGUAUUUAUAUUUUUUUCUUAAAAUAAUUGAAUGUUAAAAUGUUUUUUAUUCAUUUUUAAAGUUAAAAUUUAUAAGAAAAACGAUUUUUUUCUAUUUAAAAAAAAAAAUUCAUUAUUUUAUAUCGACGAUUUAACUACUUAAAACCUAGGCAAAUUUACCGAGAUAACCCAGUUUUUCGAAGAAAUUCCCAAAAUAACCCACUUUUCAAAAAAUUUCCCAAUCUACCCCACUUUUAGGAGGAGGCGCCAAUUGGAUGGGCACCCCGUUCUUAAAAUUGCAAGGAGGCGUCAAUUGGAUUGGCUAGGGCACCUGCCCUAGCCAAUCCAAUUGGCGCCUGUGUGUAAUUUUUAAGAGGGGGCGCCAAUCCAAUUGGCGCCUCCCUAAAAAAGCCUCAAAUGAAACACCUCCAACAUGAAAGUUGUAGAUCUUUUCAAGACAAUGAAUUGGAUAUAAAUUUGCAUUAUUUGGAUUUUUAUGAGAAAGUUAUGGGCAGUUGAAGUUGGACUGCUGAGUUUUUGAACUGUUAUCUGACCUAUAAUGUCUUGCAUUAUUUCAUGUGUUUCUUUUAGGAAUAUGAAUUUUUGUCCAACAUAACAUUUGAAGUAGACAUCUUAAAUUUCCAAUGCACGUGUCCCACCUCAAAAUAAUUAAAAAUGAGUGAGUUAGGUCUUUGCGAACUUGACUAAAAUAGGUUUAUGUCAAAACAAGUGGAUGUGAAUUUUGCCAAAAAGGGACCAACUCAAGCCCUUUAGUUUGAAUGAUAAAGCCUCAAAUGACAAAACCUUCAACAUAAAAGUUGUAGAUCUUUUCAAGAUAUGAAUUUGGACUAAAGUUUUGCAUCAUUGCAAUUUUUAUGAGAAAGCUAUGGGCACCUGAACUUGGACUCUUUGACAUUUUAUCUGUUAUCUGACCUAUAAUGUUUUGUAUUAUUGCAUGUGUUUGUGUUAGAGUUAUGAAUUUUUGUCCAACAUAACAAAGUGAAGUAGACAUCUUAAAUUUUCCAAUUCACUGGUCCCACCUCAAAAUAAUUAAAAUGAGUGAGGUAGGUCGUUGCGAACUUGACCCAAAAUUAGGGUUUCUGUCAAAACAUGUGUAUGUGAAUUUUGCCAAAAGGGACCAAAUUCAAGCCCUUCAACAUAACAAUAACAAGUCCUGAAUUAGGGUUUCUGACCUAUAAAUUUUUGUAUUAUGAUAUGUGUUUAUUUUAGAGAUUAUGAAAGAAACCUAAGUUUGGAGUUUACACAAAGAUAAAAUUUGACAUAAUACAAAUUGAUAUUAAUAAAAUUUGGAUUUUACACAAAGAAUCCUAAUGGUGAUGACCGGGAUCACCUAACCGACCUCCGGUCCCACAUCCCUAGCUACCCUAACCCUUGGCCCUAACCCACGUUGACGAUUCUGCACCGUGUUUGUUCAUCUGAUGGUCCAGGAGCGUCAUACCUCCUACAGGAAAGAUCGUUGAGGUAUCAGCCAACUCAGCAUAGUCUUCAGUAUUCAAUGAUGGUGUACCGGCGUAGCUGAGCUCAUGACCCAUGCCAGAGAAGUUGGGGUGUGGUUGACUCAUGGAUGGGCGACCGGGACAGUUGAAGGGAGACAUGGGUGACAAUGAUGGGUCUAGGAAAGGUUGGAAAGGUUGUUGGGGUUUGGAAGAGAUAUGGUGUGGGAUGUUAUGGUAUUGUGUGUUUGGGUUCUUGGCUACGGUAGGUGAUGGGGCGGUUAGUGUUUUGGGUAAGGCGACUUGGUAGGGUGAUGGUGUGGGUGCGAAGCGAUGUUCGUCGAAGGUUGAUGGUCCAUUGUUGGUGGUGGUAUGGGGGAUGUUCUUGUUUUGGGGUUGGUGAAUGGCAUGUUUUGGUUGUAUGUUUGUGUGUUUGUGGAACGGAAAGUUUGUCGGAUAGGUGGGUGGGGUAACCGGGGCUGAGAAGUUGUGGGGUUAGAUGUUGAUCCUUCUUGUGUGUAACUGUCUGGCGUGGGUCGUAGAGGUACAUAUCAUCGGCGAUGAAUUGAAAUCCAACUGAUCUAUACCAAGCCAUAUAAGUACGACUUGUGUUACCUCAUUUGGCAUGACUGCGUCAGUUAAGACAUGGUCAUGACGGUGCUUCCACUUGCGACACUCUGAUCUUUCGAAGGUUUGCCAAGGGUGUAGUUCCAUUGGUCGUCACUUUACGCAUAUGCCAUUCUCUCUAGGCUAGCUGGGGGAUCUGGGAUAUUCUGGACCAUACCAAACUGCAGCUUCACACGAUCGGUGUUGUGCAGCUCCACGUUGUGAACCGUAUAAUCGGUGUGCAUGUUGUCCAUACGGCUGCGUCUUCAGGGUUGAUCUGAUGCUCAUGAUCCAUAUUAAGGUAUGGACGCCAGAUGAACUGAAAUGUUAAAGACGAUAGGAUUUAAUGAAUGUAGAAAAAGUCAACAUAAUAUGAAGAAAUAAUGAAAUUAUUUUGCUUACGUCUGCCGGUCGAGAGUGAUCCAACAGGUUGCGAUAUUGAGUAAAUACAGUGUCUCCGACAUCUGUUGUAAUUCAUACCGCGUGCCGACCAUCUACACCAAAAAGUCAAAAUAAAUUAGUUAUGGGUAAUAAACUGUAAGGAAGGAAGUAAAGAUAUAGCAAUUUAAACAACUUACUUUUUGCAUAUGGAAAGUGAAGGGGUGUUAUUUGACCGGUGCUAGAGACGGUAGUCUUGACCAUCCCCAUGCUUGUAGCAAAACAGCACAUCCAGAAAAUGUAGAAGUAUCUUUGUGGGAGUUUUUGCACAACGAACUAUAGAGAUAGGCUAGAACUGCGGAUCCCCAACUAUAACUACCUAUUCUAUCUAUAUGUCUAAGUAAGGUAGUAAUAAUAUGCAUGCUAGAACCACUACCUUCGGGAAAUAAAAAGGAUCCUAGUAACAACAUUAUGUAACACCUAGUUUGAUGAUUCGAAGCAUCUCGGUAGAAUGCUCAUCUAAAUAAAACUAUUAUAAUAUGACUUUAGGCCGUGAAAGUAGUAUACCUUGUCCCCUAGCAUUUACUAACAAAUCAGUGUUUAAAAGCUCCAUGCAAAUUGAAUUUGCAUAGUUGGUCUUACCAUUAACAGCUUGCUUCAUAUUCGUAGUCCUAAAAGCAUGUAGACGUCUCUAACGUCACGGUACACUCACGGUUGGAAACCAAAAUGUGUGUGUCUCUGGCCUCCAUCUUUCGCAUAAGGCUAGAAUGAACUUGUUAUCUUAGACCAGACAUAAUUUUGCUAAGGUGACCAAAACCGGCGAGUUCAACAUAAGGUUGAAUCAUCGGGUCCAUUGGGACAAAUUCGUGGACUCGAGUUCGAAACCUUGAGACAUCUAUAAUAAAAAUAUGUAACACUUGACUAAGUCGGUAUUUCAAUAAAAUGGGGUGUGGAGAUGAAACAAAAAAAGAAGUAUAAGAAAAACUUACGUAUGUCGCGAUGUGUUGCAACUGUUCCUCUGUGUGCUUCGCCCAUUGUGAGUAAAGACAUAUUGUUGGGGAGUUGGUGUAGAUGAAAAUGGAAGAUUUGUUGAAGAUGAAAUUGUAAAAGAAGUAAUGUAGAUUGUAGAUGAAGGAGUGAGAAUGUUGGUGUGGAAGAAUUGUUGAAGGAUGGAUCAAUUUAUAGGCAAAUGGAGGAGUGCAUGAAAAUUGUGUUUGCAUGGUGUCUCCACCUCAUUUGGCGACCAUGUACAAUAUUCAAGAGGGGCGCAUUCAAAUUGGCGACACCAUAGGGUACAUGCAUGCAAGGCUAGUUCUGAAUGCUUGGUUUCGAGGACUGACUCCAUGGGGGCGCCCUUCAAAUGGGACCAUGUACAAGCCCUAAAGGUAGGCGCCAAACCAAUUGGCGCCACCUUCUGCAUGUCUGACACUUGGCAGUGUGUUCCUGCAUGCUGAACAAUCACUUAUGGAUGGCUUGCAUGAUUGCCACAUCAUCUCUGACCAUCUUAGUGUCCGACACGUGUCUGUCUUGUCUCCUGCAUGCUGAUGACUACCUUCUUGAUAGCUUGCCUGCUUGACACAUCAACUCACACUGUCUUGCAGGAUUGACACAUCAUCUCAGACACGUGCCUCUAGUAUCCUGCAUGCUGAUACUCACUUCUGUUCUUGACUAGCUAGCAUGCUUGACACAUCAUCUCUGACCAUCUUAGGUGUCCGACACGUGUCUGUCUUGUCUCCUGCAUGCUGAUGACUACCUUCUUGAUAGCUUGCCUGCUUGACACAUCAACUCACACUGUCUUGCAGGAUAUGCAAGUAAUCUCAGACAAGUGGCUCUCUAGUAUCCUGCAUGCUGAUAGUCACUUUUGUAUUGACUGCUAGCAUGCUUACAGAACAUCAAACUCAUGAUCACCUAGCAUGCUUGACACUCAACUCACACUGUAUUGCAGACAAGCACCUCAUCUCUGAAAUUAAUGGCAUGUUGACACAGUAUCUCAGAUAGCUUCAAUGUGAGACACUGUACCAUGUAUUUAAGUGUCUUACUAUCACAUUCAUCUGCACUGCAAACAUACUUUUCAUCUCCAAAAUACUUUUCAUCUUCACUCACAUUCAUCUGCAUUGAAAAUACUUUCAUCUUCACUCACAUUCAUCUGCACUUGCAAAAUACUUUUUAUCUCCAAAAUGUCAUCUUCAUCAUUAUACAGUAUCAACGUUCACUCAAUACCAUUAGAGUGACAAUGAAAGAGAAUGCAACCUUUUGCAUUCAAAAAAGAAUACAAUCUUUAUAGCAUCAGGUAUUGUGUCAAAGAUGACAUAUCAGAAUCCUAUAUUUUUUGAGAAUGGUCAAUGCAAGUUUUCCCCCUAAAAAUACGAGACGAUGAAGAUGUUGAAGCAUGUUCUUAGUCAUGAAAAUUCAGGCAUAGAUAUAUCGAGUUGUACAUUACUAUACAACCAUGUAUACCGUCUCAACAGUCUCAACACGAUCAGGAUCCAGCUGGUGAAGAUGCUGCAGAUGAUGCACAAUGUCAGAUGAAACUCAACCCAGAACGAAGUAGAGGUCGACGUUGUGAUGAGAAGAAGAGGAGUGAGUACAGGUUGAUCACAUCCUGAACAACGACGAUGAAGAUGGGCUCAACCACCACAAUACCUCCUACUCAUGCCUACAAUCCUCCUCAACAUAUGACAAUAUGAUCUUCACGACGAUGAAACGUCGACAGUGUCUUCUAUAUCCGUAUCCGAGACAGUAGCGAAUUAAAGUGGGAGACAUGUUCGUACAAAGAGGAAUGUGUCUUGGCAAUAAAAAAAAACAUAGAACAACUUUGCUGACUUUACAGUGAAACGCACUGACUCUAGAAGUAUGUUAUCGAAGUCGUAACAUGCCUUGUAAGUUUUGUUUGGCGCAUCUUACAAGAGAAAAAUGACUCUUGGGAGAUCGCCUCAAUAGACCCACACACAGUUGCGUUGCAACUAACGUUGAACAAGAUCACCGUAAACUGAGCACAACUUUGAUAUGUCAAGACAUUCUGCCAUUGGUAAAUAAAGACCCAUCAGUGAAGGUGAGUAUAAUUAUUCCAUAUCGAGCAACAUAUAAUUAUACUCCAUCUUACAAGAAAGCAUGGAUUGCGAGGACAAGGCUGUUGAGCAGUUUUCGGUAACUGGGAGGACUCAUUCAAGGAAUUACCACGGUUUUUAGGGCACUAAAAACUUAUGUCCAAGAACUGUGGCAAUUCUGGAGACAAUGCGCAGCAAUGAUGCCAGACGGAACCUGUGCUACGUAAUUAGAAUAUUCACCGUCUUUUUUGGGCAUUUGACCCGUGCAUCAAAGGUUUCGCUUUCUGCAAACUUCCUGCAAAUUGAUGGCACUUGGUUAUACGGAAAUACAAGGGUACUUUGCUCAUGGCAGUUGCACACGAUGGUAAAACAAUGUAUUUCCCAUUGCCUUUGCUCUUGUUGAAGGUGAAACGGCUGGUGGAUGGGGUUUCUUUCUUCGCAUCUCAGAACGCAUGUCGCUCACAAGCAAUUAUGUUUAAUUUUCUGAUAGACAUGCUGCCAUCGAAAGUGCCUACAACAACCAUGACAACGGUGCAUGAUCUCCUUUCUACAUGUCUACUGUAUCAGACACAUUGCACAAAACUUCAUGCGUGCGAAAAAGAUAGAAUUUCGCAAGAAGGUGGUGAAUGCUGGUAUGCUUUAACUCAACCGUCUUUCAAUUUAUCGUGAUAAAUCGCGUCUGUCUAAUGAAGACGCGGGAGAUGGAUAAAAUAAAUCCCAGUAGAGCAGUAGACAAGAGCAUUUGACGUGGUGUCGAUGGGGCACAUGACAACAAACUUGUGGAUGAUGAACGAGGUUUUCAAAGAAUUCGAAACUGCCGAUAACCGCCUUGGUAAGAUCAACCUAUUAUAGGUUGGCUUCUAUGUUCGCAACAGAGGUGAAAGAUGGAGUGCGUGUUAAUGUCUGGACAAGUAUUCAGUGAGUGUUGCAUGAAGAUCAUGAAAGAGGAGAGCAUCAAAGCUACGACACACGCUGUAACAGUGUUUGACCGUCAAAGACAAAUUUCAGCGUCCAGGAACAAUGGGCAACAGCGAGGGGAGACCAAAUUUUAGCCUACGCGGUUAAACUACACAGGAGUUGGUGUGAUUGUGGAAAAUUUCAGGCCUUCCGCUACUUGCUCCCAUGUCAUUGCAGCAUGCGCUUAAUCUGUCAAGACGCUACACCAUUUAUCUGAGUGUACAAGGCAACACCAUCAUGAAUGAUAUAGUAAAGCUUUUCAGUACUACAAUGGAGGAUUAGUGCCUCCAUAUGAAGAGAUAUGUUUGGCACAAUGAAGAGAUGCGUAGAAAGAAGAAGGAGGCCAAACAGCACACGUAUCAGAACAGAGAUGGAUUCCACAGAUAAAUGAUAAGAUUAUGUAGUAUCUGUCGUCAACCAGGACACAACAAACAGUCCCAAAUCAAGGAGCUCAUCUAGAUCUUAAGAUUUUGUAACAUUUUAUUUAGAUUAAGCUUUUUUUUAACAUUUUUUCUGACUUAGCUUUUCCUAACAUUUAUUCUGUAACAAUCAAUCAUAUAUAUCAUUAAGUUCUUGUUACAACGAGUUUCAUAACCACAUCAGUACAAAACAUCUGAAACAUAAAUAAUUCUAAUGAACAACAAUCAAAUUAAUGUCGUCUCGACCGAACAUCAUUCCCUAGCAUCCUUAUCAGUCUUCAUUGCACCCACAAGUACUGUCAAGUCUCUCAAUACUUCUGAUUUUCCCUUCUGGUAUUUUCCCAUCUAACCAUCGAACAGCUCCCUCUUCAGUUGAUCUAACGUGGUGAUGUUCCAAAACAAAUCACCAAUUGAGGUUGUUCUCGCAUAAAUCACCUUACGUAUCGACGACGAACACCAAACAGAGAGCCAAAUGAUUAUAUGAGUUGUGGCAAUAGGGUCACACAACGCAUCUAUUUAUAAGACAAAAAAGGCAUUUUAUGAGGGACUCGCAAUUGAGUUGGCGACUCUCUUAAAACUUACACUAGCGCCAAUUGGAUUGGCUAGGCCUGCCCAAGCCAAUCCAAUGGCGCCUCCAUUCAAGUUUUAAGAAGAGUCGCCAUAUGAACAACUUUCAGUUCAUCAAAAUCAUUGAAACUUGGAAGCUCAUCAUUCAUUUCAAAUUAUAGGGUCAUUUGACAGAACCCUAAUUUGGGUCAAGUUCGCAGGACCUAACUCACUAUUUUAAUUAUUUUGAGGUAGGACCAAGUGCAUUGCAAAAUUUAAGAUGUCUACUUCGAUCUUAUGUUGGACAAAAAUUUCAUACUCUAAAGAACACAUGAAAUAAUGCAAGACAUUAUAGGUCAUUUGACAGAAACCCUAAUUUGGUCAAGUUCGCAGGGACCUACUCACUCAUUUUUAUUAUUUUGAGGUGGCCAAGUGCAUUGCAAAUUAAGAUGUCUACUUCAUUUUUAUGUUGGACAAUUUCAUAACUCUAAAAGAACAAUGAAAUAAUGCAAGAAUUAUAGUCAGAUAACAGUUCAAACUCAGCAGUCCAACUUCAACUGCCCAUAACUUUUCAUAAAAAUUCAAAUGAUGCAAAUUAUAUCCAGUUCAUUGUCUUGAAAAAUCUAAACUUUCUGUUGGAGGUUUUCAUUGAGACUUUUUUAAGGAGGCCGCCAUUGGAUUGGCGACCCUCUUUAAAAAUUACAACAGGCGCAAUUGAUUGGCUAGGGCAGGUGCCCUAGCCAAUCCAAUUGGCGCCUGUGUGUAAUUUUUAAGAGGGGUCGCCAAUCCAAUUGGCGCCUCCUCCUAAAAGUGGGGUAUUUUGGGAAUUUUCUUGAAAAAUAUGGUAUUUUGGAAUUUUUUUCGAAAAUAUGGGUUAUCUCGGUAAAAAAACCUAAAACCUAAAUAAAACAUAUAGAAGAAUACAAUAAUAAUAUUAAUACAAUCAAAUAUAAAUCAAUACAUUAAUAUGAUUUCUUUAAUAGAAAUAUGAUAUCCAAAUAAAUUAUAUAUAUUAAAAUAAAAAAGCACAACCUUGUUCCUCUCAAUCUCAAAUUCAUGUGCCGGAAGCUUUGCCCAGCGACUCUUUCAACCUAAAAGGUAUCUUCUUAAUUCUCAUUCUCAUUCGCAUCUUUCACCUUUCAAUUUGUUUCCUUUUCGUUCCUCUCUGAACAUUGAAUCGUUGUUUAUCCAUUGUUUAGGGUUUUUAGCUUAAUUGGAUUGCUGAUUGUGAAUUUUAUAGUUACAAUAGAAACCCAAAUACUGUCCAUAUAAAUUUUGUUAUUAAGUUGAUUAAUUGUCCAAAGGGUAUUAUAAAAAUUGAUUUUUUAUUGAUUUUUGUUUAUUUACAAUUAAUGAAUGAUCUUAAUGGUGAAAAAAUGUUUAGAAGUUUAGCUAAACUGGUUGCUGCUUUGUGGUGAUGAAGUUGAUUUGUUACUGGGUUUGGGUUUGGGGAUACAUGUUUAUGUGUAUUAGAGUGAUUGGAGUGAUGAAUUGAAUUCUCCUUUCUCAAAGUUAUAUCCUUUAGAUAGUGAAUUUGGUUUCUUUUUAUUUUAUAUGUAUGGUAUGUAGCUUCAACACUUUAGAUAGUGAGCGUUGAGGGGUAGCAUCUAUAGUAAAAAAAGAUGGCGGAAAAUAGGGUUAGGUGGUUUAGGCAUGUAGAGAGAAAGCUUAGGCUUGUGGAUUAUGUAUAAGGAUAUUAGAUCAGAUGGAAGAUAGCCAAACAACUAGAGAUAGGUGAAGAUUUAGAAAAAUCUUGAGAUAAACAAGUUGGAUAGAAACAUGGGUUUUGAUAGAACAUUAUGGCGUAGUUUGGUCCAUGUAACCGACUCCAUUUAGUGGGAUAAUGUUUAGUUUGUCCAUGUUGUGGUGUCUUAUGUUUUUCACAUAUAUGGUGUCUAGGGCUCAUGUUGUGUCAUGUCUUAUGUCUGAGUCCGAGUCCGUAACUUAUGUGAUCUCUAGUUUUCUACUGAUGGCGAAGAGCAUUAUCAGAGUAGUAAUAUUGAAAAUGUUAAUAGAAUGAUUUUGCCAAAUGAUAGAUAGUUGAAGCAAAGGGAGUAAAUGAGUUUGAACAUUGAAGAACCGAGGUUUGAAAUAGUAAAUCCAUAGAAUAAUUUAUAGCUACUAAAAUUCACUGAUCGAGAGCUAGAAUGUAUUUCAAUUUUCAAGUUUAUAACAAUGUUUGUGUUGUAAACGUUUUUUCCUCUUUCUCAAUUUCAGGUGCAAGAAAAUAAAGAGCACAAAGUCCUGUAGAGAAUCUGCAUUCAAGCGUGAAUAAAGAAAUGGCAUCGUUAUUAACUCAUACCCAUCACAUAUUGCAUACCUCCACUUUCCCGACGCCACGGUCUAGAAGUCAAGGAUUGUUGAAAUCUGUAAAACCGCUCCAACUCCGGCGAUCCAAUUUUCCAAGUAUUCGCGUUAAUCAAUCCUUCAUAUGCUGCACAAAGUUAACUCCAUGGGAGCCAUCACCCGUUUCGUACGCUCCUACUGAUAAUCAAAGCGAUAAUUUCUUGCAGAAUACCACCGAUAUAUUUGAAACCCUUGAAUCUAGUCAAGUGGAUGAGUCACCAACAGCAAAUGCUGAAGGGCUUGUGGAGAAAAACGAUCAGCCAGGCCAGGAGCUUCAGUUUUUCAAGUGGCCGAUGUGGCUUCUCGGCCCUGCCGUUCUCCUUGCGACGGGCAUGGUACCAACGUUAUGGUUACCAAUAUCUUCAAUCUUUCUAGGUUCCAACAUAGCGAGCUUACUUUCCUUGAUUGGACUCGAUUGCAUCUUUAACAUCGGUGCAACACUUUUUCUCCUCAUGGCCGAUUCAUGCUCGAGACCUAAACAUCCAACGCAAGACUGCAAAAGCAAGGCUCCCUUCAGUUACCAGUUCUGGAACAUUGUUGCUACCUUCACCGGAUUCAUCGUCCCGCUUUCUAUGAUGUUUGGAUCUCAAAAGGGCUUUCUCCAACCUCAGCUACCUUCCAUCUCAUUCGCAGUUCUGCUAGGUCCUUAUCUUCUUCUUUUGUCAGUACAGAUUCUGACUGAGUUGUUAACUUGGCAUUGGCAAUCACCAGUCUGGCUCGUUACCCCUAUCAUUUACGAGUCGUACCGUGUCUUGCAGCUAAUGAGGGGAUUAAAACUUGGUGUUGAGCUAAGUGCGCCGGAAUGGAUGAUGCAUACAAUUAGGGGUCUGGUUUGCUGGUGGGUGCUCAUUCUCGGUCUGCAGCUCAUGAGGGUUGCUUGGUAUGCCGGGUUAACUGCUCGAGCUCGAAAGGAUCAAUCGUCUUCUUCUGAUACUUCUGCUGCUAAUGGUAUUAGUACUAAUUAACACCGUUGUAAACAAAUAGUUAGUUAUUAUGGUUAUUUUCUGUAGCCUAUAGUGAUAAAACCGAUAGUGAUACAUAUUUAAAAGCUAUAUAUACAAAUAGUUAGAUGCCAGAAUUCUCUGUUUACUGGCCUUUGUGCUUGGAUACAAAUUGUUCUUGUGUUAUCUUGAAUUUGUUAGUUUGGAAAAUCAUAGCUAAAAGGAUAUUAUAUUACUUUUCUAUAGAAUGUAGAAUGAUGAUACUGGUAUGUAUCUAGUGUCAAGGAACAUAUUUCUUUCAUUCAGAAAUAAUAAAUAUGGUCAAUUUAUUAUUCAGUAAAUUUAAAUAUGUUGUCAGUUUUUUUAUGCUAUUGACCUUCUUUCAGUUCCUAAUAGCUUAUAAGUUUGAUCUGCAUUUAAUCUGCAUCUUGAUCAAUACUCCUUGCAAUAGCACUAAAUCUCCAAGGAUCUAAAGUACCCAUUUAAGGGAACCUUCUCUAUCAAGAGAUGCAACUUCCAGGUAUGCCAGUACAUUGGAUAUCGAAGGUCUGAAGGUGAUGAAGAAAAAAGUUCGGGAACUAACACGUUAAUCCACAACUUUUAUGUGUCUAUCACGUAAGAAGUACAAAUCAAAUGGGGGAAAUAAGAAGAGUAAAAAGGGUGAAGAGAUUGAUGUGCAUCCUGAUCCUUCGCGGUGGGAGUAUGCCGAGGGUUCGUAGGUCAGACUAUAAAGAGAUUAUGCACAAAACAAGCUGAAAGUCAACCGUGUAGUCAAUUUUCAAAACAUCUUUACUUGUCUCAAUUUCAUGUUUUCUUACAUCAAUACAUUGAUGACAUUGUUGAUGUGGGUAAAGAUGGAUAUUGCGGUUUUUGUGUUAUUGCAGCUUUACUUGGGGCGAACAAUCUUGGCUUUUGAUUCAGACAUUGUUAGAUAUUGAAGUUUAUCAACACCAUCAAAUGUAUUCCAAUGUGUUCUAGGAGUGCGUUGCGGGUAGUUAGCUUGGAUGUGCAGAGAGAAGUGGAUGACGAUUUCUGAUAUGAGUUACUCUAUUGUUUCUACAUAUAGUGUCAUAUUGGUCUCGUUGUCCAGGAAUUUUAACAUCACAUUCUUCGAGCCGUCACAAAAUUAUUGUAGUUGGUUUUGUUGACAAUAAUCAUUGGGUUCAGGUGAAAUUGAAAAUCCGAUUGUCUGCUGUCUCCUGUCACAUAUAGAUGAAGACAAAACUGUAGUGAAGAUGCAAGAAGUUAAAAAUACAAAUAGAAUGAUUUGAAGGGUUAUUAUUCUCAUUACAAGUUACAAUACAUAUACAAGAGAGAGAGGAUCAUUCAUGAUCCAAGAAUCAAGGGAACUUAAUGUACAAGCUACCAAUAAGGAAACUAAUGAAGACAAAAUCAAAUAUUUUAAUUACAUGUGAUUUGUGGUUAAUUACUGUCAAGAUAGUAUUAAGUGACUUGUCUAACAAACCCCCUCCCCCCUUAAACUUGAGGUGAUAUAAUUACUCUAGUGUCUUGCUUUAACAGAUUAACGUUGAGUACGGAGAGCUUUGCUGAGCAAUCACUGCACUGUAUCUGCGAGCUGAGUACCAUAACAAUUUUCUGACUUCAUUUUGUAGCACUUUGUCUCUGAUGUAGUGCACAUCGAUUUCAAUGUGUUUAGUUCUAGCAUGCAUCACUGGAUUGGAAGCAAGAGCUUUAGCACUUAGAUUGUCACACCACAGAAUAAGAUUUCUUAAUUGGGGCAAUUUUAACUCUUGCAUUAGUGAGCAUGUCCACGUAAUUUCAGCUGCCAAGUCUGCUAAUGCUCUAUAUUCUGACUCAGUUGAUGAUCUUGACACUACCUUUUGCUUCCUUGAAGACCAAGAUACUAGAGUUUCACCAAGAAAAACACAAUGCCCUGCAAUUGAUUUUCUAUCAUCUAUGCUUGUUGCCCAAUCUGCAUCUGAAAACCUUGUGAUGUCUAGAUCAGUUGAUGAUUUAAUAUGUAGACAGUGAUCAAUGGUGCCUUGAAGAUAUCUGAAUAUUCUUUUUAUACCUUGCCAAUGUUCCAUUGUAAGAGAACUCAUGUACUGACUCAAUUUGUUGACAGAGAAGGCUAUGUCAGGUCUUGUGUUGGUUAAGUACUGCAGUGCUCCCAUGGCUUGUCUGAAUAGAGUUGCAUCUUUCAUUGGUUCCCCCUCAAUGGUAAAUUGUCUACCACUUACCAUUGGUGUUGAAAAAGCAGUGACUUUUUCAAAGUUGAAUCUUUUGAGUAAGUCUCUAAUGUACUUGGAUUGCUUCAAGUACAAGCCACUACUGUUUCUUUGCACUUCAAUUCCCAAAAAGUAGUGCAAUUGGCCAAGAUAUUUUAAUGAGAACACAAUGUUUAACUAUUUGAUAAAAGCUUCCAAAAAUUUGUUAUUGCUACAUGUGAUGAUGAUAUCAUCAACAUAAAUGAGGAGAAAGGUUGUGUGAUCAGUACCUUUGAGAAAGAAUAGAGAGGUGUCACUUUUGGUGUUCUGAAAUCCCCAACUUAACAGUGCAUGUUUGAGGCUAAAAGGUUGUGUGAUCAGUACCUUUGAGAAAGAAUAGAGAGGUGUCACUUUUGGUGUUCUGAAAUCCCCAACUUAACAGUGCAUGUUUGAGGCUAUCAUACCAUGCUCUUGGUGCCUGUUUCAAACCAUAGAUUGCUUUUGAUAGUUUGCAGAUGUAAUUUGGAUGUGUGGAGUUGAGAAAUCCCUCUGGUUGAUGCAUAUGGACUUGUUCUUUUAGGUAUCCAUUUAGAAAUGCAUUAUUUAUGUCCAAUUGUCUAAUGUCCCAGUUGAGAUGAACUGCUACUGACAUGAUAAUUCUAAUUGUGCUAGCCUUUGCCACAGGACUGAAUGUUUCAUCAUAGUCUAAUCCAGCAGUUUGCUGAAAACCCUUAGCAACUAAUCUUUCCUUUCUCCUUUCAAUGGAUCCAUCUGCUUUGUACUUGGUUUUGAAGAUCCAUUUUGAGUCAAUAAUAUUUUCUUGGCCUGUGUAUGGUACUAUAUUCCAUGUGUGAUUGGACAGGAGAGCUUUGUACUCAUUGCUCAUUGCUUCCUUCCAAAGUGGACUAGUGAGUGCCUCCUUCACAUUUCUUGGUUCAGUUUCUUGUAUUUCUAAUUCAGUGAGACCAAUGUAGGGUAAUUUUGGUUUAUGAAUCCCUACUUUGCUUCUAGUGCGCAUUUUGUGAGUUGCCACCGCUUCAUGUUGAUCAUUGAUGUUAUUACUUGUCUCAACAGUGUCUUAAUUUGAUGCCAUAGUUUCAAUGUUGUUUUCCUCUACAUUGAUUGAGUCACCUUCACUUUGAAUAGUGAGUUGUUGCUGAGUUUCAAUAUUUGUAGUUAGUGAGCUGUUGUCUUGACUUGCAACUGGUGUGCGAGUGUCCUGACUUGCAGUUGCUUCUGUUUCAUUUGUUGGACUCGGAUUAUCAUUACCUGCACGACAUAAAGGAAAUAAACUGUGUAAAUGGUCAGUAUUGGUUAUCUCUUCCAAUGGCCUUUUUGUGUUGAGGAAGCCAUCAUGAAAAGGGAAGUGAUUCUCAUUGAACAAACCUGCACGACAUAAAGGAAAUAAACUGUGUAAAUGGUCAGUAUUGGUUAUCUCUUCCAAUGGCCUUUUUGUGUUGAGGAAGCCAUCAUGAAAAGGGAAGUGAUUCUCAUUGAACACAACAUGUCUUGAGAUAAAGACUCUUCCAUGGGAGUUGAGACAUUUAUAACCUUUGUGAGAGUUGUUGUAGCCUAGAAAAACACAUCUGGUGGUGUGGAAUUGCAUCUUAUGUUGAUUAUAUGGUUUGAGACAGGGAUAACAGGCACAUCCAAAAGGUUUUAAAGCUUUAUAGUCAGGUUCCUUUUUGGUGAUUAGGGUGUAGGGACUUUUAUUGAAAUUUGUUGUUGAAGGCAACUUGUUGAUCAAAUAAACUGCAGUUGAGAAAGCAUCCCACCAAAAAGACAUUGGCAUUUUGGCCUGAGCAAGUAGAGUUAAGCCUAGCUCAGCAAUAUGUCUAUGUUUUCUUUCAGCUAUACCAUUUUGUUGGGAUGUGUAUGGACAAGACAUUCUAAAUUGUAUGCCCGCUUCUAAUGCUUGUUUCUGAAUUGGUUUGAAUUCACCACCACCAUCACAUUGGAUAGUCUUUAUCUUUUUGUUCAAAGAUGUGUAUGGACAAGACAUUCUAAAUUGUAUGCCCGCUUCUAAUGCUUGUUUCUGAAUUGGUUUGAAUUCACCACCACCAUCACAUUGGAUAGUCUUUAUCUUUUUGUUCAAAUGAUUUUCCACCAUGUUUUUAAAUUGAGAAAAAGCAUGUAUGGUUUCAGAUUUAUGUUUUAAGGGAAAGAUCCAAGUAAAUAUGCUAUAGUCAUCUAUGAAAUGGACAUAGUAUUUAAAACCAGAAGUGGAAUUUAUUGAGGAAGGACCCCAUACAUCCGUGUGAAUAAAAUCUAAUGGCUCAAGGGCAUGUGAACCAGAAGACUUAAAUGGUAAAAGAUGCAUUUUCCUAAACUGACAAGCUUCACAGAAAGUAGGGUGGUCACUAUCACUAGGUGGUGUCUUGAUCUUGCAAUUCUUCAAGACUUUGUCUAGCACUUUAUUGUUGGGAUGUCCAAGUUUUCUAUGCCAACUUUCCUUGAUUGAAAUGUAAGCACAGGGGUCAUUGGACUUAUUAUCUGAUUCUGAGAGUUGGUACAAUCCAUCUUUAAGUCUCCCUCUUAUGAGUGCCUUCCCUAUUAUUUUGUCCUUCACAAAGCAACAAUCAACAUCAAACUCAACAGUGAUGUUAUUAUCAUUAGUCAAUUUGGAUAUACUAAGUAGAUUUUUGGUAAUGUUUGGUACAUAUAACAUGUUAUGCAAUUUAAGUGAAUUUAGAUUGGAUGAACAUGUACCAAUAAUAUCCAGCUUAGCACCAUUUCCAACAACAAGUGAAUUCUUACCAUUAUGCUCGGUUAAAUCUUGAAACUUUUCUGUUUGAUGUGUGACAUGAUUGCUUGCACCACUGUCAAAGUACCAAUCAUAGUUUUGUGCAUAGUGAGGUGAGGCCAGAUAUGCACUGUGUGUAUCACCUUUGUUUGCAUCAGUUGAUAAAUUUGAGUAAGAUUUGUCAAACAUGUGGAAGCGAUUCAUUGCUAUAUGACAUGUUUUGUUGCACACUUGACAUGUUGGUUUGAACAUUCUUCCUCUGCCUCUGUCUCCUCUAUGGUUUCUGAAAUUGGAGCCUCUCCAAUUUGAGUUUUGUGUAUUUGAGUUGAACUUGUUGCCUUUGUAUUCAGUUUUGUUGACAACGUUUGCAGAAGCAUUGAGAGACAUAUUUGUGAGAAGUUGAACUUGUUGCCUUUGUAUUCAGUUUUGUUGACAACGUUUGCAGAAGCAUUGAGAGACAUAUUUGUGAGUUUAUUGAGUUGAUCGAGCCUACUUUCAAAGGCUAAGAGUUGAGCUUGUAGAUCAACCCAGGUGAGUGAUGAUUGAUCUAAGAGUUUGACUAUUAUAGGGUUGUAGUCAGAGUCCAAACCAUUCAAGAUUUGAAUGAUUAAAUCCGAGAUUGUGACAGAAUUACCCGCGAGCUUUAUUUGAUCAGUUAGCUUUUUCAUCUUAGUCAGAUACUCCUCCAUUUUUAGAUUUCCUUUUCUUGUACCAUGGAAUUCAGAUUUCAAAUAUGAUUUGAGAUCUGGAUUGAGCACCUGCCAAACUUUGAGCCGCAUCCCAAAGUUGUUUGGAAUUUUCGCAGUGCAUCAACUGUGUUACAAUGUUAGUGGUCAUUGAAUUCAAUAACCACCCAAGCAGCAUUUGGUCAUCUGCUACCCAUUCUUCAAAGCUUAGAUUUUUGGUCUUGUUUGAAUCAGUAGCAGUGAUGAACUCUUAAGGACAUUCUUUUAUUCCUAGUAUAUAGCCAUCUAGUUUACAGCCCCUAAUGACAGGUAAAACUAGUGACCUCCACAAGGGAAAAUUAUUUCUGUCCAGCUUGACAGAAACUGAUGUUGGUAGGUCAUUUUUCUUUGAAUUAGCAGCGGUUGUCAUUGUGGUUAUUGUGGAUCGAGAGCUUUCAAGCUUAAAGCUCUGAUACCAAGUUAGAAAUACAAAUAGAAUGAUUUGAAGGGUUAUUAUUCUCAUUACAAGUUACCGUACAUAUACAAGAGAGAGAGGAUCAUUCAUGAUCCAAGAAUCAAGGGAACUUAAUGUACAAGCUACCAAUAAGGAAACUAAUGAAGACAAAAUCAAAUAUUUUAAUUACAUGUGAUUUGUGGUUAAUUACUGUCAAGACAGUAUUAAAUGACUUGUCUAACACAAGAGUAUGAGAAUCAACAUAUACUGGAUGUAUUAGGCAAAGAAGUUAGAAAGUCAACAUAAUUUGUUUUGUAUUUAUGUUGUAACACUUUUUUGCAUGAUAUGUAUAUAUUUUAUCGGGUAUAGUUUAUUAGAAAUGUCAAAUAUUUAUGUUUUUUUCUAAAACUCACAGCUGCUUAUUGAAUUUUUCUAAAUUUUCAAAAAAUUUGGUAUGUAUUUUUUCAAAAAUCUAGUACUUAUUAUAUGUUAUCGGAUUUUUCUAAAAAAAAUAGAAUAUAUGCAUGGGAUAUUUCAAAAAACUAGUAUUUUGUCCACAAUUUUGCAUAUUUCUAUGAUUUUUUAUCGCCAAUUUCGUAAAUGAAUGAUAUUUCAUAAAAAUUUGUUAAAUAUAUGAUAUUUGUUUUCAAAAGACUCAGGGCUUGUUUGAUAUGGUUUUGGAAAACUGUUUUUUAGUUUUUAAAAAUUAAAAAUUAUAAAAUUUGUUUGGUAGUCUAAUUUUAUAAAACUAUUUCUCAAAACUAUUUUCUAUUUGUGAGUUUUUAAAAACUAAAAAUCUUAAAAUAGUUUAGAAGGUUGAUUUUUGGUUUUAGUUUUGUUUGAAACUUAUGAAGAGGACAAAACAAGAAAAAAUGGUACUAUAUUCAUCAAUGGCAAAUUUGUAACGAUAUUCAACUUUAAAACAAUUUUUAAAAAUUAGAUUAUCAAACAUGUUUUUUUCUCAAAACCUUUUUUUAAAACUUAAUUUCCAAAAUAGUUUUUAAAAACUAAAAACUAAAACUCGUUCAAACGGGCCCUCAGUAUUUCUUCAAUCAAAUGAAAAAUUUACAAAAAAUUGGAUACUACAAUGAAAAAUUCGAUAAUGAUUAUAAUUUUCAACCACCUAUUUUUUUAAACGGCCAAAGUUAUUAAUAGUUAAUAAUUAGUUGUCACACUCGGAUGUUUCAGGCAUUAUCUCAAUAAGAAAUAUGGCAAAAAAAAAUGCACGACACCGCUCUGACAUAGUUGUAUAUAUUGUUCAUCGUAUUUAUAAGAUGAACAAUAUUUUUUUUAAUAAAAAAUAUUUAUGAAUAAUAUAUGAACAAUAUCUGUAAAUAAUAUUUAUAAACAGUAAUUUUAAAGUAGUGAAACAAAGUUGGUGAAUGAAAUGUAAAAAGUUAGUUAAUGAAAUGAUGAAGUUGGUUAAUAAAUGUUCAAAUAUUAAAAAUAAUUUUUAGUUGUAAAAUAAACUUGGUUAAUGAAAAGUAAAAAAUUGAUUAAUGAAGUUAAUGAAGUUGAUUAAUAAAAGUCUCGAUAUUAAAAAUAAUUUUAAGACUAAACAAAGUUGGUUAAUAAAAUAUAAAAAGUUAGUUACUAAAGUUAUGAAGUUGAUUAAUCAUACCGUCUUAUAUAAAUAUCCUUUAAUUCAAAAAUAAAUAAAUAAAGUAAAUUAAAAUAAUAAUUUUUUAUUUUUAUUUUAAAAAUAUAUUAUUAUAAUAUUUCACUGUUCACCGUAUUGAUAAACAAUAAAAUACGGUGUAGCGGUAUGUUUGUGGUGUAGGAACAUCUUUUUCUAUAUGAUAUUACCCUUAAAUUUUAAUAGGCUUAGUUGCAAUUUUGAUACCCUAUUUUGUCUUUUUUUGGGAUUUAGGUCUCCCUAUUUUAAAAAUUACGAAUUUGGUCCGUUUCUUAAAUUUUAUGUUGAAUUUUGAUUUCUUUUUAGGGACUAAAAUCCAAUACAAAAUUUUUAAAAAUGCACAAAAAUAUGAUUUUUUAAAAUGGGGAUCAAAAUUCAAAAUUCAAAAAAUAAAAUAAAUGGAAUGAAGUUGCAAUUGAGCCUUUUUAAUAAUAACAAGCAUAUUUUAUUGAAUUUUACUGGGAUUUAAUUGAUAUACACUGACAGUGUAAAAGGAUUUUACACCGUCAGUUAAUCCUAUCCGUUUGAUAUUGAAAUAAGUUUUACUUUUAUUUUAAAAACCUAUAAAAUAAUGCAAACGGGUGAUGGUGAUGAAUCGCCAGUGUAAAUCUUUUUACUGACAUUUGGAAUAUGUUUUUGCUUAAGACUUAUAGGUUUUACUUCUAAUAUGUUUUUGCUUAAGACUUAAUAGGUUUUAUUUCUAAAUAUGAUAUUUUAUGAAUUUUGAUUAAUUUAUUUUAAUUUUUAACAAUUAUAUGUCUAUUGGAACUAAUUGUAAUAGUAUUUGUGUCACUAAAAUAUCAUUUGUUGUGCCUUUUGCUCUUAUUCUAUUUCUUAUUUGGGAAUGACAAUUAUGUGUUUAUUGGUAUUAGUUAUAAUAAUAUCGGUGUCACUCAAAUAUCGUCUGUUCUACUCUCUGCUCUCCUUCUUUUUUCUUUUUGGGAAUGGUCGCGUCGUUAUUCAAUAUUGAUAACAUAAAGUAUUUUAUUUGUUUUUUCUUCAUGGUUUGAAUGUUUGAAUCGUUUUUUAUAAAACAAGAUUCAAUCACUUUUUUAUGGAUUCUAGAUCUUCGUUCUUCAUUCUUCACUCAAGUGAUCCAACCACAUCUUAGUUGCAAGACGAUUCUCAUGCACACAGAUUUGAGGAGAGGAGAAAAGAAAUGAAAGAGAAAAUAGAAGAAAGAGAAGAUUAGUUUUUGGAGAAAAGAAGAAAAAUGUAUUGAAUUAAUUUUUACAAGUACAAAGACUCUUCCUAUUUAUAAUGAGAUUACUUGCACAUCAAGUAGUUCUCAAAAUAACUCCAUUCGACUUAUUACAACAUGCAUUUGAAUUUCUAAAUUUGACAUAAUACGAAUUAUAUUCGACUACCUAUCAAAUACACACAACUUCGACUACUACUUGCAACAUCCAAAUUUUUGUCGAAUACAUGUAGAUCCAACUACUACACACUAAGUUCAACUCAUACGAAUACAUGUUGCUUUGAAUUCUGCAACUACACAUACAUGCUUAACACAAAUAAUUAUAUAUUUAACACACCACCUAAUUUAUUGUGUCGUUAUCUACAUUUAUCAUAGUUCUCAAUCUCUUGAACAAUUCCACUUGCACAACUUUUGCCAUGAUGUCUGCAAUCUGAUUCUCAGUUAUGCAGCAUUCUAAGCUCAGUUUUACAUUUGAUAAUUGCUCUCUAAGAUAAUGAAAUUUCAUCUCAAUGUGUUUUCUUCUUCCACAUGCUAUUGGAUUCUUGGGAAAAUUAAUAGCAGAUAUGUUAUCAAUCUUCAUGAUUAUUGCUCAAUGAUUUUCACCUGCAAUCUCUUCGAUCAAAUUUACCAUUUAUGUUGCUUGACAUGCACAAAGAGAGGUAGCUAUUUACCCAUCCUCACAUGAUUAUGGAUCUACAAUUGUUUCUUUUCUUGAGCUCCAAAAAACUGGUGCACCACCUAGCAUAAACACAUAAUCAGUUGUGGAUUUUCUAUCUCAGCAUCACCAUACCAACUUGAGCCAGUGUAUCCCACUAGUUUGCAUUCCUUUCCUACAUGUGUUACAUGAAACAAAAUUCCAUAAUCAAUUUUUCUAUUGAGAUACCUUAGUAUCCUCUUAGUGGUUGCAAGAUGAGCCAUCUUUGGCUUUUGCAUGAACCUACUCACCGUGCCUACACUAUAUGCUAGAUCAAAUCUUGUGUGACAAAUGUAUAUUAAUGAUCCAAUAAGUCUUCUAUACUGAGUUGGAUUGACUUCAUCUUCAUCUUGAUCCUUUGUCAAUUACAAUCUUGGUUCAACUGGUGUUGAAGUUGCAUUGCAAUCCUCCAUCUCAAAUCUUGAGUAUCUCACUUGCAGAUUUUCUUUGGUGUAACAUUAAGCCUCUACUACUCUUGUAGAUUUCGAUACCAAGGAAAUAUGAAAUAUUUCCCAGGUCACACAUUUGGAAUUCCUUGCUCAUGUCACAUUUGAAAUCUUGAAUCUCCUUCUUGGAGUUGUCUGUUAUCAACAUGUCAUCUACAUAUAAAUAAAGUAUGAGCAAUUUACUUAUGCUUCUUCUAACAUAUACACCAUACUCAUUUAUGCACUUUACAAACUCUUUCUCUCUUAGAAAGUUAUUUAUCUUCUUAUUCCAAGAUCUUGGAGCUUGUUUGAAUCCAUACAGGGCUUUGUGCAACCUGUAUACCUUGAUUUUUGCCCUUACUUUAGAAAGUUGAAUGGUUGUCAUACAUAAACAUCUUCUUCUAAGGAACCAUUCAAAAAUUCACAUUUCACAUCUAUAUGACACAUAUACCAGUUGUUUAUAUUUGUUAGUACAACAAUCAACAUGAUUGUUGCAAUCCUAUAAAAUGGUGAAAAAACAUUAUCAAAGUCAAUUCCUUCUCUCUAAAGAAAUCAUUUGGCUACCAGUAUUGCUUUGUGUCUAGUUACUUCUCCUUUUGGAUUCAGCUUCACUUUGUACAUCCACUUCACAUUAAUUUCCUUCUUACCUUGUGGAAAUUCGACUAGUGACCAAGUUUUGUUGACCUCUAUGGAUUUCAAUUCCUUCUAUCAUGGCUUGCAUCCUCUUUGAGUCCUUGAAUGCCUCAUUUACAUUGACUGGCUCAAUAUCUUCAUUGAAAGCAUAAUGUACCAGCUUAUCUUCAUUAUUUACCACACCAUCUGAUGUGAUCACAUAUUCCUGCAGCUUGCAGGCAUGUUUCUUGUCCUUUGAGAUCUACUUGUGCAUGCUUGAACCCCAACUUCUUCUGGUCAAAUUCUACUGCUAGUUUCACUAGCUGGUUCAUCACACCAGACUCUUACUGAAUCUUUCUUAACAUUUUUAUUUCAAUCCCACUUCUUCAGCUCAUCUAUGACCAUAUAUUUGUUGGUCACAACUUGCUUGUUCAAGGGAUCAAACUGUUUGUAUCCACCAGCUUAGUGAUAUCCUAUCAGUAUCAUCUAGCUUGACUUGUCAUUAGUUUCUUUUCUAAACUGGAAUUGGCCAGGCACAUGUCUAUGUGCUAUGGAUCCAAACACCUUCAGAUGACUUAAGUUAGGUUUGACACUAAACCAACAUUCUUUUGAUGUAAUUUCUUCUAGCUUCUUGGUUGGACACCCAUUCAAGAUGUAUGUUGUAGUCGACACAACUUCACUCCAUAAUUCAUUUAGUAGAGGCUUUCCCUUUAACAUACUCCUUACCAUGUUCAUGAUGGUCAUAUCCUUCCUUUUAGUAGUACCAUUUUGUUGAGGAGUGUAUGGUGGCAUCACCUCAUGCAUAAUACCUUCUCUUUUACAUAGUGCAUCAAAGUCUUUUGAAACAUAUUCUCCACCACCAUAUGUCCUCAAGAUCUUGAUCUUUUGGCCACUUUAUCUCUGCACCAUAGAUUUAAACUUUGUGAACACCUCAAGCAGAUCCUUUCAUUCUUGAUUACGUAUGUCCGGAAUUUUCGACUGAAAUCAACUAUGAAUGUGUAGCGGGGUAUUCGUUACCAUUGGAGAUAUUGACUAAAUCCAAGGUAAAUCAUACAAGUCGAGUCGUCACCGCACUUCUAUUUAUCCAAAGGAAUGGUUAGAAAGCGAACAAAAACCUAAAAGUUUUAUCGAAUCAAAAACUAGUAAAAAUGUCAGAGAUCUGGGUAAGGGGGUUGGUUAUGUAAUGGGAAGGUGUUAGGCACCCAAAACAUCCUAGGUACUCCUAGGGAGCCCUUUUCACAUUUGUUGUAAGAUUGUUGUUUUUUUUGAAAAAUUAUUUGUGCAAACAUGACUGAAGGGAUGAGAAAAGCGUGUAUGUUUAUCUAAUGCACUAUGUACUAAAGGGAGGGUCAAAAGAAAAUGACUCGCACGGGUGUCGCAUCCACUGCAUACGUAUCUCGUCGGAAUAUGAGAAUCAGAGUCUUCGUAGCUCGGCUACCUAGGGGUUAAAGGGAAGUAUGCUCGGUAAGACAUCGCGUCUUAUGCCUACGUAUCUCAUCUGGAAUGAGAAUCAGAGCAAGUCGUAGUUCGGCUAACUAUGGGGUUAUGGAUUGAGUUUUGGACGAACGACGUUACUACGCAAUCUACCGGAUGCUCGACCUUUGGAGACUUACUCGCUUGCAGUAGAAGGAGUUAACGUGUUCUUAGGAGAAGAAAAAUCAAUGAGUUGGUAGGGUUAUGGAUACUCAUGCAAAAAGGCAGUCCUUGACGAAGGAACCGCGCUACCUGUGGGGAUACGAACACAUACAAAACAAACAUGUAUAAAGUAAACGUGCCAACAAGGCAAUCAGAAUAAAUCUCCCAAAUGGUAUCCCACAAGCAAAGUGGAAUAUCCAGCGAGCUAUCCCUGCAAAAGUCAUGUGAGCCUUCACAAAAACUCAACAAAAGGGUUAGUGAAACACGAUAAGCAUUUUUUUCAUGGAUAACAGUAUGGUUUCAGAAACCUCAAACCCUGUGGCAUACACUUCAGAAAUUAAACGAUUAAGCAUUCAAGGCAUUAUUUAUACAUUCAUACAUAAUUAUGAACCCGUGGGCAAAAACCUAAUGAAAUUCAUCCAUCAUACCUCAAACAUUCAGAGUAUUCAACUUCAAAGCACAAAGGUAAUGGGAAUAAGGGCAAACCUGAUUGGAGAGAUCGGUUGAAAUCAAAUGGCACGGCUGGAUUUGCAAACCAAUGUUAGGGUUUGCUUGAGCUGAAAGUGUGUGAGUCAGAAUGAACCUUUCAGAGUUGCCUGGAGGUUGCUGCAGAUUAAUUCUCACUCUCUCUGUCUAGGUUUCUCUCCAGGUUUUGUCCAGGGUUUUGUUUCAAUGAAAACUCUAGUAUUUAUAGCCUAAUAUUGGUAGCUUAGUGGGCUUUUGAGAGAGGUCCAAGUCUGAGAUUUUUUCUUUUAUUUAUUUAUUUAUUUAUUUAUUUAUUUAUUUUUUUUUAUUUUUUAUUUUAUUUUUUUUUUCUUUUUUUUUCUUUUUUUUUUUGCAUAACACGUGGGCUUCGCCUAGCGAGCAUGACAGCUCAUGAACAAACCUUUGCUCCUUCAAGAUUAACGUUUUGACUGACGAAUAGACCCCUGUUGGAAGUAACUCAAGUCUUUCCCUUGUGUUGACUGAUCAUCUAAAUAGAACCCACAAAGUGUCCUGGAUGAUGUUCAAGCUUCUUGGAGCUAAUCCCGAUUGACAUGAUGAAAUGCAAUGUAUCUAAUGUUAAAUGACCUAAAAAUGAAUGCGUGAAUAAGGAGGGCAAAUUUUGGGGUGUUACAGAAUGUAACAAAGUACUUAUUACCUCCAAUCAAUUCUACUUGAAGAGGACCACACACACCUAUGAUAUCAAGAGUGGCUUUCGAAUUACUUUUUUCAUCUUUGUUGAAGUUGUUUUUGUGUUGUUUUUCCUAAACACAUUCUUCAUACACUUCAUUUGGAAUCUGGAUUUUUGGUAAACCUGAAACCAUGUUUCUUCUCUUCAGAUUGUUGAUGUCUUUGAAGUUGAUAUGGCCAAGCCUGUAGUGUCAUAGUCAUUCAUCCUUGCUAGCUGCAAUUUCCAGAAACUUGUGUUCCAUCACAUAAAUUCCAAUCUUGAAGGUUCUAUUUUAAGAUAUAAGUGACUUCAAGAUUAACUUGCCACUUGAGUCGAGUACUCUUAUCAUCUUAUCUUCUACCAACACUUGGUAAUUCUUCUCAAUCAGUUGUUUUAUAUUGAGCAAGUUGCUUUUCAUGUCCGAUAUGUACAAUACAUUAGAAAUUACUGAUCUUUUGUCAUCUUUCCUUAUGAUCAGAACAUCAUCAAUACCUUUAGCAGAUAGGGUAUUGUCAUUUGUAAACUUCGCCUUAUUCUUUAUAGAGGGACUGAUGUUGACAAACCAAUCUCUCCUUCUAGUCAUGUGUGAUGAGCAUCCCAAGUCUAAGUACCAUUGAUCCUUGAACCUUUCUUCUUCUUUUGUUGUGACUAUCAACAACACUUCUUCUUCUUCUUCUUCUUUUUCUUCUUCAUGUUUUGCAAGUCUUGCAUCAUUUUCUCGAUUAUUUCUUUUGUUUUCAAGAAAAUCACUAGCAUAGUGACCAUGUUUCUGACAAUUGAAGCAUUGAAUAUGACUCUUAUUGGGUUUCCUUCCACCAUUUCUUCCUCUACCUGCAACACGACCUAUGUGAUUACUUUGGUUUGUGGGUUAUCUCUAAUUCGACGAAUUUCCUUCUUAUUGGUGACUCCUACCAUUUGAAUUGUUAUAACCUUCUUUAUUUUUAUUAUUGCCACAUCUUCCUUUGCUUUUAUUUUCUUUUACUAAUUAUGCUUGUCGAGCUGCAUCACCUUUCGUCUUGCUUGUAAAUCUUUUAGCAAUUCUUUGUAUGAGAUAGAAGCGCCUCUUGAAGCUUUUCUUUUGUCAUGCUUGACAGGUCCUUCGACUCUUCUAUGGCUGCAACCACAUGAUCGAAUUUCGGAAGCAAUGAGCUUAAGAGUUUUGCAACUACCGAACUUGAUGUUAACACUUCUCCACACAUCUUGAUUUGAUUAGCUAGUCUUGUUACCCUAGUGAAAAAAUCAACCACACUUUCACUUUCUUCUAUCUGAAGUAACUCAUACAUUAUUUGUGAGUUUGUAACCUCACAUCUUUCACUUUCUCAACAGCUCCAAAAGAUUUCUUCAAGAUGUCCCAUGCUUCCUUCGAUGAAUCUACAUCACCCACUUUCUCAAGGCUGUCUGGAUCAACGCAUUGAGGAUUAUAAAGAGAGUUUUAUAAUCCUUCUUCUUCAAAUUUUUAUGUGCAACCUUUUGUUCAUCUGUGGCAUUGUCGCCAAUUGGUGUUACUUCAUUCUUCACAAGAUCCCAAUAUCUUGAUAGCAGAAGACAACCUUCAUAUGCUUACACUAUUUAUCAUAAUUCUUGUCAUUCAAGAUGGGAAGAUUCGCUGAAAAAUGCUCGUUGGAUGAGAAAUCAUUACUCAUUUCUCUAAAUACUAGAUGUUUGAAUCACUCUUGAUAAAACAUGAUUCAAUCACUUUCUUGAUUUAUUCAAGAUCCUCGUUCUUCACUCUUCACUCGAGUGAUUCAACCACACCUUAGUUGCAAGAUAAUUCUCAUGCACAAAUAUUUGAAGAGAGGAGAAAAGAGAAGAAAGAGAAGAUAAAUUUUUGGAGAAGAGAAGAAGAAUGUAUUGAAUUAACUUUUACAAGUACAAAAACUCUUCCUAUUUAUAAUGAGAUUACUUGCACAUCAAGUAGUUCUCAAAAUAACUCCCUUCAACUUAUCACAACAUGCAUUUGACUUUCUAACUUUGACUUAAUACAAACUGUAUUUGACUACCUAUCAAAUACACACAAGUUCGACUACUACUUGUUGUAUUCGACUUAUUGUCGAAUACAUGUAGAUUCAAGUACUGCACACUAAGUUGAAUUCUAUCGAAUACAUGUUACUCCGGCUGAUCGAAUUCUACAACUACACAUACAUACUUAUCACAAAGAAUUACAUAUUGAAUAUUAAAUAUAUGAACUUAAACUCUUUUAACUUUUGGCUCAAUUAGUUUAAAUUAGUUGAGCAUCUCAAUUUCUCCCUAAAUGAAAGAUUUAAUUAGCAGAAGAUUUUCAAUUGAAGCUAGAACAAAGAUUUAUCGACAUGUCAUAAAUUGGUCUCAUGAAACUUAUGUCUUUACAUAAUUUCAAAUAAAUCUAAUUUGGUAUACUUGUUAGGUAUCCACGAUGCCGUGAAAGCUACAAAUAAUAGCGUUCUUUAUUUUCACGUUUACAAUGCAUUGAGACUCGAGAAUGUCAACACAAACACAAUUCCAAACAUGCCAUUAGUGUUUGUGCAAGUUUUAUCUCCUUUCAAGUUCACACAUGUUUUUUUGAACUAAAUGCGAUUCUUCUCUUAAUUUAAUUUUAAGUCAAAUAGUUAACAGAAGUGAAUGAAGUAGAGUUUUUUUAAUAAAGAUAAUUUAUUAAAUAAGAAAAAAGGAUAUAAAAUAUACUUCCUCCAUUUCUUAUUAUAAAUCGUUUUUUAUUUUUGACACAUAUUAAAAAAUAUAAUAAUUAUGAUAUAAAAAAGGAAAAUUAUGAAAUGUUUUACAAAAUUAUCUUUUAUUAAUGGUAUUGAAAAGAUAAAUUGACAUAAGAGAGAAUAAUAAAUAUCUAAGGGUAUAAUAAGAAAUAUAACAUUAAUGAUUCAUUUUUAUUGUAAAACGAUUUAUAUCGUAGUACAAAAUAUUUUUCCAAAGCGACUUAUAAUAAAAAACGGAGGGAUUCAUAAUUUUUUUAGCAAAAUCAAUAAUUAAACAUGCUUAAUUUAUCUCUCAAUUUUUUUAAAUAUACGUUUGGUCUCUUAUUUUAACAUUUUAAAAUUUUAAUCUCUUUAAAAAAAUUAAAUUUUAAUCCCUACUUAAUAUUUUUAGAGUUUUUUAUUUUUUUAUUACAAGGAUAUGCUAACAUAAAUUAAUAAAUUAAGAAUAGUAGAAAAAUUUAAUUAAAUAAAAUAAUAUUUAUAAUUUUAAAGAAUUCAAUGUAAACAUUUCAAAGAAAUAUUUCUAGAAAUAAUCUAUUAAAUUGUGUUUUUGAGAUGAUAUGUCAACAUUAACUUUAUUAUAAUUAUUAUAUUAUUAUUUUAUAUUAUUUAAUAUAAAUAUAUUGUAUCAAUUAUUAUUUUUAUUAUUUAUAAAAAUUUUAAAUUAUUGAUAUAAGUCAAUUCUUUUAUAAAUUCAAUAUUUAUUUCAUUUUUAUUUUUAAUUAAUGUAAGACUUAAUUACUCUUUCUUAAAAUUCAACCCUUAGUUUACAAAGCCAACCUCCCUUCCCUACUCUUCUGUUGUACAGUUGAAGCAGGUUGACAACAACAAUAAACAAAUAAGUUGUUAACAAUUCUUACUCAAGUAGGCUUAUGAUUUCCAUUCUGCUUAUUGUCGAGAUACUCUUAUCAUCUGAUAAUCCGUUUGUCAAGCCAAAGUUGGAAAGUUCUAAGUUGUAAUUCUCAUUUGAAUUAAUGAUUAAAAAUAUUAAAAUAGAGAAUAAAAAUACAUUUAAGUUAAAAACUUUUUAAAAUAUAAAUAGAUAGUAAAUUUAAAUAGUGUUGUAAUUAAAAAAAUAGAAUUGUAUUAUUUAAUAUAUAUAUAUAUAUAUAUAUAUAUAUAUAUAUAUAUAUAUAUNNNNNNNNNNNNNNNNNNNNNNNNNNNNNNNNNNNNNNNNNNNNNNNNNNNNNNNNNNNNNNNNNNNNNNNNNNNNNNNNNNNNNNNNNNNNNNNNNNNNNNNNNNNNNNNNNNNNNNNNNNNNNNNNNNNNNNNNNNNNNNNNNNNNNNNNNNNNNNNNNNNNNNNNNNNNNNNNNNNNNNNNNNNNNNNNNNNNNNNNNNNNNNNNNNNNNNNNNNNNNNNNNNNNNNNNNNNNNNNNNNNNNNNNNNNNNNNNNNNNNNNNNNNNNNNNNNNNNNNNNNNNNNNNNNNNNNNNNNNNNNNNNNNNNNNNNNNNNNNNNNNNNNNNNNNNNNNNNNNNNNNNNNNNNNNNNNNNNNNNNNNNNNNNNNNNNNNNNNNNNNNNNNNNNNNNNNNNNNNNNNNNNNNNNNNNNNNNNNNNNNNNNNNNNNNNNNNNNNNNNNNNNNNNNNNNNNNNNNNNNNNNNNNNNNNNNNNNNNNNNNNNNNNNNNNNNNNNNNNNNNNNNNNNNNNNNNNNNNNNNNNNNNNNNNNNNNNNNNNNNNNNNNNNNNNNNNNNNNNNNNNNNNNNNNNNNNNNNNNNNNNNNNNNNNNNNNNNNNNNNNNNNNNNNNNNNNNNNNNNNNNNNNNNNNNNNNNNNNNNNNNNNNNNNNNNNNNNNNNNNNNNNNNNNNNNNNNNNNNNNNNNNNNNNNNNNNNNNNNNNNNNNNNNNNNNNNNNNNNNNNNNNNNNNNNNNNNNNNNNNNNNNNNNNNNNNNNNNNNNNNNNNNNNNNNNNNNNNNNNNNNNNNNNNNNNGGGGUAUGCCUGAUUGGCUAUAUAUAUAUAUAUAUAUUGUUGGUGUAAGCCCUAGAGGCCAAUACUUUUGGUACUUCUAUCGAAUUAUUUAUUAAUAAUAAAAGACUUUUUCUUUAUUAUGUUCGUUUAAUAAAGUCCCUGGAAUAGAUAGUCCGUUUAAUGUAUCAAGUGUGACUUAAACAUGAGAUCACAUUAAACAUAAGGACACUAUUCUUAAAGUAUCCGUAGUCGAGCUUUAUUGUGAAGUGGGAUAACAUUAAAGCAUGAAGACUAUUAUGUUUAUAGACUGAUGAUCACAUCUCAUGCAUCAUGGAUAAGGAGUUAUCAAGUCUCAAACAUAGGUAUGAAUAUUAAGAGUAAUAUUUAUACUGGAUUGAUCCACUAUGAGAAUACUAUAUAGAAUGUUAUGCAAAGUGUCAUAAGUUAUUCUCAUGGUGAUAAUGGUGUAUACCACCCUUCGACCUGAAACCAUAUGGACCCUAGAUGUAGAGUCGAGUGUCUUAUUGCUGAUCAAACGUUGUCCGUAACUGGAUGACCAUAAAGACAGUUGAUGGGUACUCCACGAAGCAUGCUAAGGGACAUGAGUGACCUAGAUGGAAUUUGCCCAUCCUGCGUAACAGGAUAAAUGUCUAUGGGCCCAAUAUUGAACUGGACAAGGAUGACACGGUCUAUGCCUUGUGUUCAAUAUAGACAUAAGGGCAAAAGGGUAAUUNNNNNNNNNNNNNNNNNNNNNNNNNNNNNNNNNNNNNNNNNNNNNNNNNNNNNNNNNNNNNNNNNNNNNNNNNNNNNNNNNNNNNNNNNNNNNNNNNNNNNNNNNNNNNNNNNNNNNNNNNNNNNNNNNNNNNNNNNNNNNNNNNNNNNNNNNNNNNNNNNNNNNNNNNNNNNNNNNNNNNNNNNNNNNNNNNNNNNNNNNNNNNNNNNNNNNNNNNNNNNNNNNNNNNNNNNNNNNNNNNNNNNNNNNNNNNNNNNNNNNNNNNNNNNNNNNNNNNNNNNNNNNNNNNNNNNNNNNNNNNNNNNNNNNNNNNNNNNNNNNNNNNNNNNNNNNNNNNNNNNNNNNNNNNNNNNNNNNNNNNNNNNNNNNNNNNNNNNNNNNNNNNNNNNNNNNNNNNNNNNNNNNNNNNNNNNNNNNNNNNNNNNNNNNNNNNNNNNNNNNNNNNNNNNNNNNNNNNNNNNNNNNNNNNNNNNNNNNNNNNNNNNNNNNNNNNNNNNNNNNNNNNNNNNNNNNNNNNNNNNNNNNNNNNNNNNNNNNNNNNNNNNNNNNNNNNNNNNNNNNNNNNNNNNNNNNNNNNNNNNNNNNNNNNNNNNNNNNNNNNNNNNNNNNNNNNNNNNNNNNNNNNNNNNNNNNNNNNNNNNNNNNNNNNNNNNNNNNNNNNNNNNNNNNNNNNNNNNNNNNNNNNNNNNNNNNNNNNNNNNNNNNNNNNAUAUAUAUAUAUAUAUAUAUAUAUAUAUAUAUAUAUAUAUAUAUAUUAUAAUUCUUUGUGUCGAAAGAGAUUGUUCGACAAAAGCAAGGAAAUGUCGAACUGUAUAAAAGUCGAAACAUCAAAGUAGUGUAUCUCGACAAGAAUUUCGACUUAGGUCUAUUUUGUAGUGUUAGUAGAAUUAGAUAUUUUGGCCUUUACUUAAAGAGCAAGCAAACUCAAAUCUAUAAAUAGACGAUUCGUGGGAAGUAAAACACGAUGGCGUUGAAUCAUCCAAAUGAGCAUUUUUCGGCGAGUCUCCCAAUUCUGAAGGGUCAGAAUUAAGAGAAUUUGUGUAAACAGAUGAAGGUUGUUUUCUAUUGUCAAGAUCUUUGGGAUCUUGUGAAGGAGGGAGUGACGACGCUCGAAGAAAACACAACGAAUAAAGAAAAUGCUGCACACAAAGAAUUGAAGAAGAAAGAUUAUAAAGCUCUAUUUAUAAUUCAACAAUGUGUUGAUUCCGAUAAUUUUAAAAAACUAAGUGAUGUCGAUUCAGCUAAAGAAGCAUGAGAGAUUUUGGAAAAUCAUUUGGAGACGCAGAAAAGGUGAAAAGGGUGAGAUUAUAAACUCACAAAAGAACGUAUGAAUUGCUUCAGAUGGAAGAAAACGAAAGCAUAACUGGUUUUUUCACUAGGGUUGCAAAACUAGUGAAUCAAAUCAAGGUAUGUCGAGAAGUGUUGACAUCAAGAUCAAUUGUUGCAAAGAUCUUGAGGUCAUUGGCUCCAAAAUUUGACCACGUGGUAGUAGCCAUAGAAAAGAGUCAAAAGAUUUGUCAACAUUGACAAAGGAAGAGCUUCAAGGGACGCUUGAAUCUCAUGAAUAAAGAAUGGCUGAAAAAGUUGCAUGAAAGUCGAAGAGUGAUGUGCCUUUGUGUCGCAUCCUGCGAAAAAUCAACCGGCGAGCCUCGAAAAUAAAACACACAGAGCCGCCACUAAACGUUAUUUAUCCCAAGAUAGGGAAAGGAAACGCUCAGAGAAACCUGGAAAGACAUGGUCUCGCGACCAGAGAGAAAAGGUUCGGGAGUCGGUUACGCAAGGGGAAGGUAUUAGCACCCCUCACGUCCGUCGUACUCGACGGGAUCCACGUCCUAGAAUAAAGAAAAGGUUGCUAAACAUCACACACACACACGGGGAACGCAGGUGGGGUUAAGAGGAACGAGCUCGAUAAGGUAUCGCACCUUAUGCCUACAUAUCUUGUCUGGAACAAGAAUCAGAGCCACUGUAGUUCGGCUUACGCACGCCAAACAACACAAAACAUACAAACAAGCAAGGGUGGCAAACAUGGAGCCCGACAACCACUGGAUGGAAUUACGUCGGCAUCCGAACCAAAACACACAGUCAGAUAACAAGUUAACACACGCAAAAAAGAAAAAGGUUGCCCGGAGUGGUCUCGCACGACCACCUGCCUACAUACCUCGUCUGGAACGAGGAUCAGGGCGAUGUAGUUCCCCUGAAAGGGACUAAAUUGCUAACCAGAAACCGGGGAAAGAUACACAACUAGGGAGCUGAGACUCGAGCCUAAUGUUGUCAUGCAUCGUUAACCCUAAGUUCGGUUUUCUAUCCUACUUGCAUAAGCAAACUAACCUAACCAGGAAAGAAGCUAGCACACAAGCAUACAAUCAUAUAUCAUCAAAUGAGAACAGGUAUCUCAAACAAGCAUGUCAAUCAGAUAUCCACAUAGCACGCACUAUAGCCCAAACAAGGGGCUCACACAAUAGGUUUGACUGCCUAAGCAAGUCGUCUGUACGGGCUGUGUUUGCUCUUAACCUUGCCAUUACGAGGCUAAGGUGAAGCAGAUGAAAGGAUGAAGUGAGGAUCAGACCUCACAGCUCUUAUCCCUAACCAGGGAGAGCUGACAAAUGAGCAUGGGUCCAGAAUAGGGGAACCCUUCUAUACUCGAUGACUCUGACACAAUGUGCACUGCACAAGAUCUUGGGCUUUUGAUCUCAAUGCUACAACCAUGUAAUGGGAGCAAGGAGAAGACUCAACUGAAUAGUGGGGGACAGGUUGCUUGUCCCUACCUUCCACCAAUUGCCUUACUUGAAGGACUUUUCCUGCUUGGGCUUAAAAAUAAACAUACACAAGCAUUGCCUCUUAAGGAGGACUUCAGACAAUUUGCCCGGCCCGGUAACAGCCGGGUCUCCAGACUACAUGAAGAUUAGGAAGUUACCUCAAUGCAAAUUGCUUAUGCAAAGCAAAGCAAAGCAAUAGUUCACAAGGAACUGAGCAACUAAAGUACCUGGAAACAAUCAAACUCAGUCAGUAUUCAAUCAGACAAAUUGUACAGCAAACAAUCAAACAGUUUAAACAAUACAACACAAAGCAAGCUCAAGGCUUAAGCCCAAGCUCCAACACCUACAAAACAAUGUUAUGUUAGUGUACAAACAUCCACAACAUCAAUUAAAAUCAACUUGUAUCAUUCUCCAUGUACAUUGCUUUUUUGAUCCUGAAAAAUCAAGCAAAUAUUAGCAACUAGACCACUAGGCCAAGCCUAGGGUCCAAAAGCAAGAAAAAAGUUAAAACAGCAAGGUAUUCAUCAACCAACAUCAAAUUAACAUCAAACACAAGCAAACAUCAUUGGUCUCAUGUUUAUAUCAUCCACCAAGCUCAUGUUAUGCACAAAACAAUCCAUAUUGGUUCAAAUGAAGCACCAAACAUACAAACAGAAUUAUUGCAUUCAAAUCCAUACCAAAACACAUCCAAAAAUUCUCAAAUUAAAUACACCUAAACAGGGGUCAAUCAAGGUCUACCAUGUCAAAUUUGAGCUCAAUUGGGCAAAUGGAACCAUGUCAAUGAAAAUCAACAAAAACAGACACCAUUUCAUGCUUCAAUUCAUACCAUCAAUGCAUACAUCCACUUCAAAAAUUCAUAUCUCAUUGAAAACAAAAAAGAAAUGGAUGAGACCAAAACAAGGAGGUCCUAAAAUGUGUCUAGUUCAUGCAUAUCAAAUUUCAUGGCCAUACAAUACAAUGUGAGCAUUUCCCAAUCAUUCUACCAACCUAUGUCACAUGAGCUUGCACAAAUGAUCUCCAGAAAUGAAAAAUCAUGAUCAAAUUGAAAAUACAGUGAAAAAUUCUACAAAAAUUCAUCCAACAUCCUAACAUAUCAACAAUUCACCAUGCCAAAUUUCAUUCAAUUCUAACAUGCAUAGGUUAUCCAAUUAAAUUCAACAAGUUGACAUCAAGAGGUGUGACACAAAUUGUCACACCUAAGUUCCAGAAUUUGCUGCUCUCUAACCAGGUAUCCAAAAUUCAUGAAAUUUACAUAUAAAUAAUCCUCAAUGAGUCAAGAACCACCACAAAAAUUUUCAAGAAUUUAUUCUACAUUAUGAGCAUUUCAUGAUCAAAUUACAAACAUGUAUCAAAAAUGGACAUACAAUGGAAAACCCUAGGUCAAAUAAAAUAUUCCCCAAGCACAACUUUGACCAAUAGGUCAAAAAAAACCUACACUCACCAAGGAAGCUAUAGAAAAAAUUUCCAUAUUUUUCUGAUUUUUUUUACUAUUUUUUACGAUUUUUUAAAGUCAUUAAACAUUUUUAAUAAUUAUUAUGAAUUUAAUGGAAUUACAUAAUGGCAGAACUGUAAAUAUAUUUGGCGCGGGAGGGAAACUUCAUAUUCAAAUUUUCAAACCAAAAAUUGGAUCAAACACUCAAAAAAAAUCAGAAAAUCUCUCUCUUCCUCACGCGUUUCCAGAAAAAGUGCGAACAUGAAGAACACCAAAUCUUAACGAAAAUUAACAAUCCGCAUAUGGUUGGAAAGGUCUUCUAACCUAGAAUCCAAAUACGAACCUAAUUUUGUCUAACCAUUCCUAAAUCAUACGAAUCGAUGAGGUUAGGGUUUUGGAUCAUAACUUCAAAUCGAGAUUGCGCAGCCUACGGUACAUCAUUCGCAAAACCGAAAGCAUCACAGUACUCUACGAUCAAUGCUCUACACAAAGCAUACAACAAUUCAUUGAAUCUUGAAAUUCGAAAAAACUCCAAACCUGAAAUGGCAGUGUAUUUCGUGCCGUUCUUUCUGCAAAUAAGCUCCAAACAGGUGAAGUAUACACUAGUAGAAGGUGAGUAGAAGAGUUGGAUUCGAAUGUAAUGGCUUCUAAUGCUCGAAUUCAAGAUUCACCAUGAAUGAUGCACUUUUGGACAGCUAUGAAUUACCACUCCUUGUGCUCCAAUGACCAAAAACAGUUUGAGAUGAUGAUGAGAGGAGUUCAAAUCAAGAAGAAAUUCGAGAAUCGGUUAAGAUUUGAUGAAGUUUUAUGAAGUUUUGUGUUUAUGGUGUUCUUGAGAUUUUGAGAGAAAACUUGAGAAUUUGGAAAGUUUGAGAUCCAAUCUUGGUAAAAGUGAUUUUCUGUUAUGAUUAUUAGAUGAUUAGGCUUAUAUAUGUGACCUUAAUCCAUGCUUACUCCAUUAAUUAACCAAAUUGGAGUGUUAAGUGAAAAUGGUUAUUUGUAAGAAAGGGCAAAAAUGGAAUUUCACUAUGCCAGCUAGUGCCACCUGUUUUGACAGCACAUACACCUUCCAAUUAUCAUAUGUGAGCUGUAGAAACUUGCCCCAUGCCCAUUGGUUGUGUAAAUCUCAAAAUCACCAUGUGGAUGCAUUUGUCCAUUUUUAACCAUUCCACUUUUCAAGACAAAAUCCAAAUUAAAAGCCUUAUGCAUGAAAUGAAAAUUCAAACACAUUCUAAAUGCCAUUCCUGAGGUGUUGGAAAAAGUCCCAUUCAAAAAUUCCCAAUAUUUUGACUUUUGGACAAUUUUGCCCCUGGUCCAAUUCAGCUGUCCAGUUGAAAAGUGACUUUUUGCCUUGGCCAUUUUUGAACAAAUCCAAUGAUGCACCCUCAAAGUACAUGUCAAAUGGAGUUUGUGCAUAUAAAGAACUUGCAAUUUGGACAAAGUAUGUGGUAGUUAUGGCCUCCUGAUUACGGUCUUUUCUGAAAUUCACUGAGCCAUAUCUCGCAAACCGUACAUCGGAUUUUCAAGUUCUUGGACUUUUUGGAAAGGUGAGAACAAGAUCUACAUCUGUCAUGUUGAACAAUUUUUCAUUUGAAGCUUCCUUGGACUUCUGUUUUUGAGGUCAAAAACUUUCCACUUUUGGAAACUUCUAUUACAAGUCAGUUGCUAUUUUUGGCAGUUUUUGUCCUGACUUGAUUUUCUUCAUUCUUAAGCUUUGAGAUGUCAAAUAUCACUUGUUCCAACAUGAAUGAAGUGUAUCCAACUCAUUUCCACCUCCACAUCCAUCAGAUCAAGCACAGUUGACCACAGUUGACUUUUCAUCUGAUAGAUGAAUUUGGCAAUGCAUUGAUCAAUUUAAGCCCCAAUCUCCAACUGAAAUGGCUCAAGGGUGACACCCUAGCCUCAAUAAUCACCAUAUAAUCACAAAAUGAUCCUCAUCUCCAUCUCAAACACCAUCUCCUGAUUAAACCCUGAUUGGCCCAAUACAACUGAUUAGGGUUGACCAGUGGUCAAAACCCUAAUCUCAAGGAAUCUUCUUCAACCUCCUGAUGACAUCCAACCAUGGUGAUGAUGAUGUAUCGAUUCAAUCAACAUGAAGACCAAUACCCUUGGGAGUCACAAAACCCUAAUUCACAGCUCAAUCCUCAGAUGGCCCAUGAUCAAUCAGUACAACCCUAGGCUUGCAUUUUCUGACUUCCUCAUCUUCUGAUCAAGACUUGGGAAGAUAGCUUGCACUAUGUAACCACAUGUUAUGCGAUAUGAAAUGCCUAAUGUCCUAAAAUGAAAUACAAAUAUGUUAAUGCUAGUCCCAAGAGAGGAGGGCAAAUUUUGAGGUGUUACACUUUGCAGGCAUAAUCAACAAAAGAAAAGAAAGCUAAAUGGAAGUGGCUCGACGACAAAGGUAGAGGAGGCUACAACAAUUCGACCGGUCGAAAUCAGUAAGAAGUAGGCUAGUCGAAUCAGAGAAAGUCAUCAUACCAAAGCAACCAAAGAGGUGUUGUUGCAGGUAGAGGAUUAGGUGGUGGUCAAAAACGUGACAAAAGUUACAUUCUGUGUUUCAAUUGUUAGAAGUAUGGUCAAUACUCAAGUGAUUGUCUUGAAAAACAAAAGAAUCAGGAAGCUGAUGCAAAGUUUGCAAAGCAUGAAGAAGAAGAGCUGUUGUUGAUGGUCACAAUAAUAAAUGAAGAAAGAUUCCAAGACCAAUGAUACUUGGACUCGGGAUGCUCAUCACACAUGUCUAGUAGGAAAGAUUGGUUUGUCAACAUAAAACCCUAAAUGAAGAACAUGGUAAAAUUUGCAAAUGACAAUACUCUAGGAGCUGAAGAUAUUGAUGAUGUUCUGAUUAUGAGGAAAGAUGGAAAGAGAUUAGUAAUUUCUAAUGUAUUGUACAUACCAAGCAUGAAAAUAAAUUUGCUCAGCAUAUGGAAGUUGGUCGAAAAGAACUAUAAAGUGUCGAUCAAAGACAAGAUGAUGAGAGUUCUCGACUCAUGUGGAAGGUUAAUCUUGAAGACACCUAUGUCUCAUAAUAGAACCUUCAGGAUUGAACUUAAUGUGACGGAGCACAAGUGUCUUGCAACUGUAGCUGCCAUGGAUAAAUAGAUAUGGAACUAUAGACUUGGUCAUCUCAAUUUCAAAGAUAUCAUAGAUAUGAAGAGAAGAAAUAUGGUUUCAUGGUUACCAGAAAUCGAAAUUCCAAACGAAUUGUGUGAGGAAUGUGUGCAGGCGAAGCAACACAAGAACAACUUCAGCAAGGAUGCAUGAAGCAAGUCGAAGACAAUUCUUGAAAUCAUAUACUCUGAUUUAUGUGGUCCUAUCUAGGUGGAUUCGAUUGGAGGUAACAAAUACUUUGUCACAUUCAUAGAUGAUUUCAGUAAAAAAUUAUGGACUUACCUGAUCAAGAAGAAAAGGGGAGUGAUAGAGGUAUUUGUGAAGUUUAAAUCUAUGGUCGAAAGACAAAAUGGCCAAAAGCUUAAGAUUAUGAAGACUGAUGAUGAUGGAGAAUAUGUGUCGAAAGACUUUGACAUAUUAUGUGAGAAAGAAGGAAUUGUGCAUGAGGUGGUGCCACCCUACACUCCACGGCGAAAUGGAACUACAUAAAGGAAGAAUAUAACCAUUAUGAAUAUGGUGAGAAGUAUGUUGAAAUGCAAGUAUCUACCUAAAUAAUUAUGGGGAGAAGUUAUGUCGACAACAACAUAUAUUUUGAACAGAUGUUCGACGAAGAAGUUAGAUGGAAUCACACCUGAAGAAUGUUGGUCUGGUGUGAAGCCUAGCUUGAGUCAUCUGAAAGUAUUUGGAUCUAUAGCACAUAGACAUGUGCCUGAUCAGUUGAGAAGAAAACUUGAUGACAAGUCGAGUCAGAUGAUCCUAACAGGAUAUCAUUCGAUUGGAGAUUACAAGUUGUUCGGACCACUGAACCAACAAAUAGUGAUUAGCAGGGACAUGAUCAUAUAUGAGCUUAAGAAAUGAGAUUGAACUGAAAAUGUCAAGAAAGAUUUAGUGUGAAUCUUAUGUGAGGAAUCAUCAAGUGCAGUUGAAAGAGAAGUUCGACAAGAAGAAGCCAGAGGUCAAGCAAGCACAAAUAGACCUUAAAGAACAAGACACAUGCCUGCAAGGUUGCAAGAAUGUGUGAUGCAGAUGUUGAACCAGUCAAUGCAGCUGAAGCAUUAAAGGAUUCGAAGUGGGUGAAAGCAAUGAACGAGGAACUGGAGUCCAUUGAAGUAAACAACACUUGGUCACUUGUCGAGUUGCCUCAAGGAAAGAAGGAAAUCCAUGUGAAGUGGGUAUACAAGGUGAAGUUGAAUCCAAAGGAUAAGUAACUCGACAUAAGGCAAGACUUAUGGCAAAAGGAUUUCUUCAGAAAGAAGGAAACGACUUCAACAAAAGUUUUUGCACCUGUUGCUAGGAUCGAAACAAUUAGGUUGGUUGUUGGUUUAGCAAACAUGAGCAAAUGACAUAUAUGUCAGAUGGAUGUGAAAUGUGAAUUCUUGAAUGGCCCCUUAGAUAAAUAAGUUUAUGUUGCACAACUAGUUGGGUUUGUGAAACAUGGCGAAGAAAGUAAGGUAUAUAGGCUGCAUAAUGCUCUCUAUGGACUUAAGCAAGCUCCAAGAGCUUGGAAUAAGAAGAUAUAUUGUUUCCUAAGAGAAAAGGAUUUUGUGAAGUGCACAAAUGAGCAUGAAGUAUAUGUAAGAAGAAGUAAUAAUGAAUUGCUUAUACUACGUCUAUAUGUCAAUGACCUGUUGAUAACAGGAAGUUGCAAGAAGGAGAACGAAAAUUUCAAACAUGACUUAAGUGAGGAGUUUGACAUGUCACACUUGUGAAAUCUCUCAUACUUCCUUGGUAUUGAAUUCUACAAGAGUGGUAGAGGAUUAAUGAUGCACCAAAGAGAUAUCCAACGCAGUAUAGAAGACUCAUUUGAUCACUUCAAUACCUUUGUCACACAAGACCUGAUCUAGCAUGCAGUGUAGGUAUGACGAGUAGAUUCACACAGAAGCCAAAUGUAUCACACCUAGUAGCGACGAAGAGGAUACUAAGGUGUCUGAAAGGAACUCUCGAUUAUGUUAUUUUGUUUUCUGCAGUUGAUGAAGGAAAAUAAUGCAAGUUAGUGGAAUACACUGACUCAAGUUGGUGUAGUGAUGCUAAGGAUAGAAAAUCCACAAAUUUAUAUGUGUUUAUGUUAGGUGGUGCACCAGUUGGUUGGAGUUCGAGAAAAGAACUAGUAAUAUCAUUAUCGUCGUGUGAAGUAGAAUACAUAAUUGCUUCUCUCUGUGCAUGUCAAGCAACAUGGAUUGUGAAUUUGGUCUAAGAGAUUACAUGGAAGACUCAUGGAUCAAUUACCAUGAAGAUCGAUAACAUGGAUGUUAUCAAUCUAGCAAAUAAUUCGAUAGCGCAUGGACGAAACAAACACAUUGAAAUGAAGUUCCAUUAUCUUCGAGAGCAAGUAGUAGAAGCAAAGUUGAACUUGGAAUACUACAAAACUGAGAAUCAGAUUGCAGACAUCAUGACCAGGGGAGUGUAGGUCGAAGUGUUUAAGAAGUUAAGAUCUAUGAUGGAUGUAGAUAGCUUAGACAUAAUGGAUUAGGUGGUGUAUUGAAUUGUAAUUCUUUGUGUCGAAGCAGGUUGCUCGACAGAAGGAAGGAAGUAUUGAACUGUGUUAAUGUUAAAACGUCGAAGUAGUGUACCUCGACAGGAAUUUCGACUUAGGUUUAAUUUUAUAAUGUUAGCAGACUUACGUAUUUUGGGUUUUGCUUAAGGAGCAAGCAAACCCAAAACUAUAAAUUGGGAGUAACCCUCUAUCAUUGUAAAAACUUGAAGAGAACUUGCAGUUACAAAAAUAAAUUUCCAGUUUGGAAACAACAAGCUCUUCAAAAAAAUCCUUCUUCUUCCCAUAUUUUGCCUAAACUCUAAUUUCUUCUUUCUUCAAUUUUAUGUUUUCUUUCUUCUUCCAUUAUCGAUUGUACAGCGAAAUCUUGCAAACAAAGUAUGGUUGAUUCACUCGAGUGAAGAGUGAAGAACAAAAAGAGUAAUUAAUCAGAAAAAUUGAUUCUUAUUCACCAAAAUUUAUUUUGGAAUUUAUUAAGUUUUGAUAAAAUUCUUGAAAAAAAUUGAUGAAGUUUGAAUAUAUAUAUAUAUAUAUAUAUAUAUCAAAUUUGUUUUUAUUUUUGUUACUAGCUUUAUUCUUUCUAUUUUAUUAUUAGUCUUAACCUCUAGUGUUAUUUUUAAGGAAAAUAUAUAUUGAUAGUACUUUUGGCUCUUAGUUAAGUGAUUAAUCCAAAUCUAGUAUUUAUUUUGUAGUCAUUCUCAAUUUCCUCGUUUUUUAGUUUCCCUCAAUUUUCUUCUUUCGAAUGCACAUAUAUUCAUAUUUGUUAUUUUCUUGAAAGUCUUAGGGCCCAAUUGGUAAUAUUUUAGGUUUCAUCUGUUUUGAAAUAUUUUUUCUUAUUUUUAAAAGAGAUUAAUUAUUAUAUACUGUCAGUGUAAAAUAUUUUACAUAAUCGUUUCAUCACCAUCAUUCAUUUAUAUUAUUUUAUAAAUUUUUAAAAUAAAAGUCAAACUUGUUUCAAUAUCCAACUGUCAAUGUAAAAUCCUUCUAAAUCCUUUUUAAAAAGUGUUUAAUUUAUAAAACACGUAAAAUGAUUUACCUAUUAGAGAAGAUAAAAUAUUAAUUAAAAAUAGUAUAUUUAAAUAUUCUAAUGACAUUUCUUAAGAAUUUUAAUUAAUUUUUUGUUAAAAAUAUUCUUAUUAACAAUUGUAAUUUAAAUUAGUGGUGUGACAUGACAUUACUGAAUGAUAAUUUUUUAUUGGAUAACAAUAUAAAUAUAAAAUGUCUAACCAUAAACUUUUUUUCUUAAACAUUUGAUAGUAUUUUUGUUAAAAAUAAUAAAAAUAACUUUUCCUAAUAUUCUUAUUGCUUUUAGAAAAAUAUAAAUAGAGCUUUAAGCUAAUUUUACAAUAAAAAUGUUUAAAAAGGAUCUAGUUUUUAUUUAUUUUUAAAAGUGAUAUUUUAGUUGCUCAAAUAUCAAUUUUAACAGGCUGAUUUUCCAGGUUUGGUGUGCAUCACUUAAUAUAAAAAAGAAAUUGAACUUGAAAAUUAUUGUUAUUUUAAUUAAUAAAAUAUUUCACUAUGGCAUAAUCGUUAAAUUUGUUGCUUAGUAUGUAUCUCAAUCUUCUCUAAUAUCCACAUGCCCAUUCAAAGUAAAAAAGGAAAUGAUUAUGAACAAACGUAAUGAACUUGAAUAACGUUAAUUAAUGCCAAAAUAAGGAAACAUGUGUUCAAAAUUUGUGGUUGAUGCAAAAACAAGUAAACACGUGCUUAAAUUUUGUUUGCUUGUGGGGGGAUUAGGUUGGUGCAAAAAUAUGGAAAUAAAGUUUGGUAUGCUUAUGAGGAUUUUGAUAAGUAUGUUGUAUUUAUUAGUGGUGGUUGGUGUCAUUUAAAGCUCAUUGGUGAGUUAAACCAAUGAUUUAGUUUAUUUUUGAAUUAAAAAUAAAAUUUUAAAUUUUGUUUUUUCCUUAUAAAAACGUUGCUUUAUGUAUUCCAAAAUAUCUACUUACACACUAUUUCUUUACUAUUAACGAAUAAAUAAAUAUAAAAUAUAUACAUAUUGGUUCGAUAACAAACAAUAUGAAAUCCGAUUUAAUCUAAGCGAUUUUUUAUGGGAAUAUGAAAUCAAGUGGAAGGGGUGAAUAGACGGUUUCUAAAAGGAUCAAUUUAAAAAUACUUUCUUUUCAAAAUCAUAGUUUAAUUAAUCGCUCCGCAUAGCAAAUUUUUUGUAUAAUAUAUGUGAGUGGAAUGAUUCCCACAUACAUUAACACCAGAAACAAAAUUAACAAAAGAUGGAGAGGCUAAAACAAUAAACACUUCAAUCGAUAUAAAUUCGUUUUAUACGAGAUGUGUAAAUCGAAGUUAUUCAAUUGAUUGAGAAAUUUACUAUUACGGUUUUCAAAUUUAAUCACAAGUAAGAUCGUUUAAAAUUUUGAUCUAACACAAACCUAAUUUUAUACACAAAAUCUCUAUGAAUGCGGUCAAACCUAACAACAUGCAAUUUCUAAAAAAACAAUAAAACCUACGCAUACAAAAUUGAGAGAGAGAGAGAGAGAGAGAGAGAGAGGAGAGAUGAGAGGAUAGUGUUCCCGUUCGGAGGUCUUUGGGCUCCGAGUAGAGAGAGAGAGAGAGAGAGAAGAGAGAGAUAGAGGAGAUAGAGAGAGAGAGAUGAGAGGGGAGAGACGAGAGAGAGAGAGAGAGAGAGAGAGAGAGAACAUUGGAUUUAUAGUUGUUCAACACGUUUGUUCUCACUUUGUACCUAAUCCACUUUACAAUGAUUUUCUAUUGAAAAUUCGUAGUCUUCCACUAUGAUUUGACAACUUGUAUAGAGUUUUUUAAUACAAUCACAAGAUCCAAUAUAAUGCUGAAAAUUAAACAAUCUUCUCUUCGAAUGUAUAGAGCAUUGGAAAUUGAUUUCUGCGAGUUCUUUACUCGAUCUUGACUUCCACCUUCUAAAUUCAAGAAUUUUGCUCCCAGCGUCUAUUCCACAUCAACUUCUCUUAAGCCCUACCAGUUCCUUGUCUGAGUCUUGGUCUAUCUAAAGACAAUAGAAACUUCAGCUUUGUCCAUAGAAACUUCCACAUAGUUCUAUCGAAGGAAUCUUGGAGAAAAGAAACUCCUUCUUUUUCGCUAUUUGAUUGUCAAUCCCAGUGACAACCACAAAAAGAUGCCAACCUGAAAUAAUCAUACUUCCAAAAAAUGUUAAUCACAAAUGAACCUCCUCACACAUAUAUCACAUUGAAGGUUAAGAAACUAAACCAAACGACAAUAGUAAGCCAGAGGUUAAAGAUGAAGUGAAAUUUCAAAUGCAAUUUCAAAGACAAAAAUACAAAAUAAUUUUUAAAAAUUUGAAAGAAAAGUGUGUUGUGUGUAAUAUGAUUCAAAAAAUCAUAUGCAUGCUAUGUUUUCAAAUCACAAAUGUUUUUUUAGAUGGAUUUUGAAAAAAUCAUUAAUUCAAGUCAUACAACUCCAUGAUUCGAAUUAGAAAUACAUAACCAAAAUCCAAAAUUUGCAUUCAAUUUUUUAUUCAAGUCAAGCCAUUUUGUGAUUCAAAUCAAGAACUCCAUGAUUUGAGUCACGCUUUUCUGUGAUUCAAAUCAUAAGCACAUAGGCAACAUCCCAUUUUUCUUAUUCAAGUCGCCCUUUUUCAUGAUUUGAAUCAAACAUACAAAAUUAAUUUUUGAUUUUCACAUUCAAUUUUGAUUCGAGACAGUCAACUCCCUGAUUCGAAUCACACUUCAAAAAAUUAAAACUUUAACAAAAAUGAAGUGUUUAUUUGAGUUGAGACUUGAUACAAUUUGAGUCAUGAUUUCAUGUUUUCUUGAUCCAAAAGUCUGAUUAAUUGACUAGAACCAUAUUGUGUUGACUUUAAGCAGAUAGUUUAACGUAUGCAUGUGCAAAAAUGAUUUAUCACUCAAUCCUAGAAUGCACAACUAUGUGAGGAGAUUCAACUACGACAAAUAAACCAAAAGACUAAUUUGGCAAGCAACAAAACAUGAAGUAGGGAAAGUCUUAGGAGGCAAAGCAACUUCAACCUCCUCCUUUUUUAUGCUUGGCAAGCUUGCAAAUUUUGUAAUUGGAAUUGAAUUGACUUUGAGUAGAAGCAAAGCGUGAUGAAUGUGUUCCUCCUUUUGCUUGUGCUCCCCCUAAAACAUUGUAUAAAUUAAAUCUAGUCUCACAUUAAAAUCCCCCUACCACUUAAUAAUAUCAAAAAGAGAUAAAUGAUAAUGAGUCUAAACACAAAAUAACCGUCAAUCACAGAAAAAUGAUCCAGAGAAAACAAAGCAAAACAUAUCUAAGAAAAGCUAUAUAUUAUAUAAGAAUAAUAUAUCACAAAGAUAUAAGAUACAAAUUUUUUCAAAUGCAACAAAUAUGUAAAACACGGCAUGAAACAUACAACAACAAAUUUCAGAUGAUUAAGAAAUACUGAAAUGGAAGAUUAAAUAAUGCAUUAACAAUUCAAAAGUAUUCAAAUGCACAUAAAGAAGG
rnacentral:lncRNA from 1 species